GUGGCAUCGCUCAAGUCAUCAUCAUUUCAGACUGAAAAUCAGCCUUCAAGUGUCUGUUGAGCCAAUAAACCUUUCUAGAUAUAUCAAGUGCAAUGGAAAUUCAUGAGUUACAUAGAGAUUUGUAAACAUUUUGAAGAUUGCAACACCUGCAAGUGAGAUAGGCGGUGACGAAAUCAGAGCUGAUUUUGAAGCCUCUGAUGCCCCUGUUGUUGCAAGUUGCACCUGAGAACAUGUUUUUUUUUUCUUUGGGGUAAAAAAACUGGCAACAUGUUCGGAGCUGACAAUUCAAUCCCUGAUGAACUAGAGAAGCGAAGCUCCGGUAAGGAAUUGGUCAAGGUUGUGACAGGGAUGAUUGAUGGUGAAAUGGAUGCUAUUUCUUAUUGCAGCCUGUUCUCAAAGUUCUUGUUGGCAAAUGCAAGAGAUGGAGUAUUUUGAUUGGGAGGAGAUAUAAUGACAUGGCUUGACAAUUCUAGAACAGCCCAUCAUUAAUCCCAGAAAAAAUCCAGUUUCUGCUAAACAAUCACUUAUGGCAAGGCCAACUCUGUAAAUGGAAUUUGUGAUCCCUUGAAAUUGUACACAUUUUUUCUUUUUGAGGAAUUUAAUCAAACAGUAUUCUAAUGUAUUAUGAUAGCACUACACGCUUUUGUUGUAACAAAUUACAAGGAGGAAUUUGGAUUGAGUUUCUUGUAUAAGCACACCUUACACAAAUUUGGUAUAUUUUCUUCCAGCAAGUCUGUUUAUUAACCCCCUUAUCUGAAAUUAAUUGUUAAAAGUUUUGAUUCAUCUUUAAUCAGUGUCUAACCCUUGUUGAAUAACACUCCUCUUUCUAAUUUAUAUUUGAAGUUUGAGGUUUCAAUUUCAAUUGUGGGCUUUGAUUUUACAGAUUUUGUUUGUCAAUUUCAGUUUGGACAAAGCAUAUGCAAACAAAAUAAGCAUUUUAUGUUAUACUUUUGAAAUAGGUGUUGAUUUGAUUUAAUCAUAAGUUUUGCUGGUGCAUUUACUAGGCUAUCAUUCAAUACUUUUGAUCAUAGAACUUCUUUGGUCGAUAUUAUCUUUGUUAAGUUUAACCAUAAAUUUAGAGAGGGGACUUCAACAGAUUUAUAAUCUCAUCAUUAUAGUAUUAAAAAUUAGAGAUUAAGGCAUUGUCUAUUAUCUGAAUUCUGCUUACUUUUAGUUCAUAUGUUUACAUCUUAGCAUAUUCAUGCGAUUAGUGCGGCUCAUACCACAAAGGCAACUUUAGGCUCAUCAAGUGCUAAGCAAUGUCAAGCUUCCAAGUGACAAGUUCUCUACAUAGUUUGAGACCUACACUUACUAGAUAUUAGAUCAUUUCGAUCAUUUCCAUAUGUUUAUAUGUAAUUGACAUGUUAUAACAAUUUUUGUAGCGUUAUAUAAUUAUUUAGCAAUUUAAUUAUUUCUUUGCAUCAAGAAAUAGUUCUUAAGUUAUUAAAAAAAAAAAAAAAGAUUUAAAAAAAAAGAUUUGUUGAUGCUUAAAAAGCAUCAAGAACAGGUAGUUUCUUGACGGUUUAGUGACGUUUCAUAACUGUAGGAGGCUUUUUCUUCCGACAGCUGUAAAUGGGCUGGGUUGCCGUAAAGGGCAGACUGAUGAAAUUGUCCCCUUUUGUCUGAGCUAGAAAAUUAAGCCCCAAAAUACUUCGAAAGGGCAGCAGAGCCUUAGGAAGUAUUUUGGUUACCCUCACCAACUAAAACAACAACAACUUACAGGUAAUUUCUUAAUGCUUACAGAUGAACUCUUGAGCUUGGCAUGAGAGACAUGUGGCAUGGAAGCAAAAUCAACAUGAGUUUAGCACUGAGGGGAAAUUUAGGCUCUCUUGGGGGAAAAAGGGAAGUGUUAAGGUGAGAGAGGAGAAGUUUGUAGGAGAUUUAGCUAAGAAAGGAGAAAUAUAGAACAAUGCUCUUCUGGCAGCUUGACAGAUGCUCUGUCUGCCAGAAAAGGAAGAUGGAGAAGAAAUGUGAAUAGUGCACGAGUUUGCUAGAUUUUUGCAGGUAAGAGAGGAAGCUUGCUCUCUGGGUCUGAGUUGAGUUUUGUUAGGUGGAAGAGACCUCAUUUUAUAGCUCCUGGAAACCAUCACUUCCCAAGAAACCCUAAUGGCUUCUACCCAUUUUGGCCAAGCUUUUCCAUUCCUUUCUCAUUUCCUUCCUUGACUUUACCCCUCUUGAUGAAAUCCUCUCUACCUAUUUGCACCAGAUCAGAGUUUUUUGAAGCUUAAGGCCCCCUUUUCCCGCAGUUGUCUCAAUGGGAGACUUUCAUUCCUAGUCAUUUCCUUUAUUGCUUUCCUUUCUUUUUUUCAUGGCCAAGUCUGGUGGGGAAAGGAGUUGGGAUAAAUAUGCUAGUUUGAAGGGUGCUUCUCUUCUUGGCAUCUUACACACUAAUACCCCUUGGUUCCUUGAAUGUUUUGGCUUUGAAACUUGCUCCCCUCCAUGUAUUGGAACCUCCCAGCAGCCCUGGUCAAUGAAUCUUCAGACCUUCUCUUCGUGGCUUUUAUUUUUUUAUCAACUGGCUAGGGCUUUUGUGGCUCAUUGGGGCAAUUGUAUGGGCUAAGGUGGUUCAUUAAGUAAGUGGGCUAUUUUUAUUAAACAUUGAGCUUUUUGGUUGAGUCACUAGGCUAUUUUGAUUGGGCUAUUGGGCUAUUGUUUCCUCUCUUGUGCUCACCCACAUGUUUGGACCAAAGAAAUGAGCUUGAGUCCUGAGGCUCCCAAGCGACCCGAGACUUUCCAUUUAUCGGUCCAUCAAUGGGCCUCAUGUUGAUUUAUUACCAUCCAUACCACACCCCACUCAAGCAAGCCCCGGGCAUUUGAGUGGCUUGGGCCCACUUAGGCUUGUAGUGUGGUUGGGUGCAAAAUAACGAUUUCGUGCUUGGCAUGUUUUAAUUUUAUCAUCCAUGGGAAAGGCUGCGAUGUUUGAUUUCGGCAUGGGCUUGUAGAGCUGGUAUGCUUUAUUUCAACUCCUAGCAUGACGAAUUAUUUAUUUAGCAUGGCACGUGAAUUACAACUCGCAUGUGGUGGGUUUUUGUGUACUACACCUUACGCCUCUUCUUAAUAGAACAUCGUUUCUGAUAAUUUAUUUGGGCCCAACCGUGAAUUUUUUGGAUCUCAAUAAUAACCAUCAUGAAACAUUACAUUUUGACUGACAUCAAGAAAUGGGGUAUCCCUUUCUUGAUAGUGGCAUCCAUGAUGCCUUCCAAGCCGUCAAUUAAGGGCUAUCGCGAUGCAUUUUAGUUGUCAGCAAAAGGUGUUUUUCUUGUACUAUAUUCACUCAAAAUCGUGUUUCAUUUAAGAUUAGUAGUAUGGUUGAAUACCAUUUGUUUUGUUAAAGAAUAUUAUACAUUAGGGAUUUUUGUAGAAAUGUCAUUUGAACUUAUACCUUAGUUUCAAUUUGUCACCUUGAAGAAAAAUUUAAGAGAAAUAUCACCUUAAUUUUUUAAAAUCCAUGAUUUGUCAUAUGACUUUAAGAUCAUCCAAUUUUCCAUCCAUUUUAAGGGUAUUUUAGACUUUUCAUUUUCAAGGAAAAAAAAGAGAUGAAAAAAGAGACCUCUCUCUUACUUUGUCCCCCAACCCAACCCCACCCGCCCCCAAAAACACAUCACAUAGGAUUGCCUCCCCCUUCCCCACUUUUCUUUUUUCUUUUUGUCAUACUUUUCCACUGUGUUUAUGUUGAAGGAUCUAAAGUUUGCUUGGUCACCAUCUUUUACGUAGGCUUCCUAAUUGUUGGUUUGGGUGGGUUGUGGGAAUUUGUGUGUGGAGGGCAAGGCUCUAUCUGACAGGACCCACCUCGAAUUCCUCGAAACCCGAGACGAAUCUUGUAGAAUUUCCGACAUCACACCGAUGCCGGGUCCACUUCUGAACUAAAUCCUCUUUUCCAAAAUUAAGGAAAAAUAGUACGAGGCUUUCUGCCAAAAUUUCGGCAGUCUUCCCUAUAAAUUUAACGUUUCAGCUUUGGAGGCCGUUCUUUCAUUUCUGCUUUGGUGGCCGGAUGAGAGAACGGCCGGCUAAAACGUGGCCAGCUGGCACUGCCGUCACGAGAGAGAGAGAGAGAGAGAGAGAGAGAGAGAGAGAGAGAGAGAGAGAGAGAGAGAGAGAGAGAGAGAGAGAGAUGUUUAUCAAACCAUUUUUGCCAAAAUUACGAUUAUGCAACUGAGGGUAUUUUGAUCGUAUCUUUUUCGUUAUAACUCCGAUUCAAGCCCACUACAUAUCUACGGACUCAUCUCGCCGUGCUCUAUGCAAUUGUAUAGUUGAAAUUCCCAAAUUCCAUCCCAGUCAAAAAGUCAACUUUAAACCUUAUAAAAUAUUCUAAGGGCAAAAUGGUCUUUUAUCUAAUUAAAUUAAUAAUUGAAAAUUUAUUUAGGACCGGGUCGUUACACUGUCGUUGAUGGACUGUGCGAUGGCACUCACACAAAGUCCUUAAGAAUAAAACACACACACACCAUGAAGAGAGUAAAACAAAUGCACAAAGAUUUAUAAAGGUUUGGCCUCCUGCCUACAUCCUCUUGGUGAUCCACCCGAGAAAUUCACUUGUACGUAAGAACAACUUUGGUUACAACUAAACCCCCUUAGCUUUCAUAAGAACCCUAGAUCUCUUUUCUCCCACCCUUGCUCCAACCCUUUGAUGCCCUUGUAAACACUCAAGAAUUCAUCCUUGAAUUCUAUCAUGUGUUACAUCUUCUCUUCUCCCCUUUGCCAACCUAACCCUACAAGUUAUAUUUAAAAUUCAUUGGACUUUAAGUACAAGUUAACUAGGAAUAGGAAACAUAAAAGACCCCAAAAAUUGGAGAAAAUAUGUCUAGAUCUCAUUAGGAAAUUGCACAACACGUGCGAUCCUCUCGAGCGCCUGCAAAAUCAUCCCUUUGCCGCUCGAGCUGCCGAUAGCUCAUGGGAUGGGGGAAUUAGAAAUUUUUUUUUUUCAAUUUUAAUUGUUUAAAAGAUAUACAAUUUAUUAAUAAUAAUUUUUCCAUUUUUAAAAUACCCUUGAAAAUAGAAAGAUUAAAAUGCCCUUAAAAAUGGAUGGAAAAUUGGAUGGUGUUAAGGUCAGAUGACAAAUCAUGGAUUUUGAAAAAUUAAGGUAACGUUUCUCUUAAAUUUUUCUUUACAGUGACAAAUUGAAAUUGAGGUAUAAGUUCAAGUUACAUUUCUGCAAAAAUUCUUAUACAUUAUGAUAUUCUAACAAUAAUUGGCUAAAAUUGAUAUGUUCCCUCUUUUAUUUUCUUUUUCUCUUUUCCUUUUCAUUUUAUGAUCCAAUCCUUUUCAUAUAUUUUUGUUCAAGACUUUGUUUUAUAAUGCUCUAUUACUAAUUUGGUACAGGUCCCUAAAAUCUCGGAGCCGCCUUAGUACAUUCAUAACGUACAUGUUCAGAGUUCAAGAAUAAUGUAUAGAAUGUGAAAUUGACGAUGCCGGCCUUUAUGAGGCAACAUCUUUAUUUCUUUGGUUAUUCCAGUUUAGAAUAUUUGCACAAAUGAGAUGACUCCAAGCAUAAAGUCACAUUCGACCAAAAAGCAUAAAGUCACACACAAAAAGAACACGGACAAUUGCUAAGUUUAUCCUUGUACCCUUAUUUUAUUGAUCCGACCCAAUUGAAAAAUAAAAAAAGAUGAUAAAAAAUAUUGUUCACUGCUUUAAAAUCUAUGAGUAGAGUCCUCCAUUUGAAAUUUGGUCAUUAUACAAAAUUGGAAUGAAAAAAGAAAAUCCUAAAGCUAUAUUUGAUAUAUUUCAUUUUCAUUUUUUGCUGGGUGUUAGGGCUCGUCAAUGGGCCGGGCCUGGCUAGCCCGGCCCGAAUUUAAUGGGCUUGGGCCAGGCCGGCCCAGGCUUUAAAGAGGAGAGAGAAAAUAUCAGGUCGAGUUUUUUAAGAAAAUUCAAAGCCCAAGCCUGACCCAUGAGCCGGGCUUGAGAAAGCCCAUCGGGCCGGGCCGGGCCUAAACGGGCCCUACUUCAUUCAAAAAAAAUCAUUAACUUAAUCAUAAGGUCAUUUUAGUCCAAAUUUGAGAUUAAACUCACUUAAUUCUAAUAUUUUUACUUCAAACCAAAUUCAUAAAACACCCAAUAAAGUCACACAACUUGUAAGAUUUUCCACAAAAAUAAUAAAACCAAGUAUUAUUUUUGAGGUUAUUACAUAAUUAGAUCGUAAUACGUUUUAAAAAAUAAUUUUUAAAAAUAAUAUUAAUAAGUAUCAAAAAAAUAUUUUUUUAAAGGAUGGUAUGAAUAAAUAUGCAAAUAUUUGGUGAUGUGUUCAAGAAAAGGAUGAUUAUAUUUGGUGGUACGAUUAUGUUUCGUGAUACGAUUAUAUUUAGUGAUGUGAUAUGUUGUUCAUCUUAUAUAUAUAUAUAUAUAUAAUUGUUGAACUAAUAAUUGACACAAAUUAAUGUGUUAAUCAUCCAAUUAUAAACUAGGAGUGAAUAAAGAAAAGUAAAUGAAAUGAAACAAAUUAUAUGUGUGAUUUAAGUGAUAUAAUCCUAAACCUAAACUCUUAUUUAUACAUAAUUAUAUAUGUAUGCGGGCCUAACGGGCCGGACUUUUGUGGGCGUGUCGGGCCGGGCUUUCUUGGGCUUAAUCAGGCUGGACCUAUGGGUCAGGCCGGGCUUCAAACACCCCAACACGAGCCUAGCCUAGCCCGCCUUGGGCCGGGCCAUCUCAAAGCCCAUAACGAGCCGGAUCGGGCUUUUUUCGAUUGGCCGGGCGGGCCCCCUCGACCCAUGAGCCCGCGGGCCAAAUGAUGAGGCCUACUGGGUGUUCAAUUUUUCUUGUUUCUUGUUGAAAAGAAAAAUGAUAAUUAAUAAAAUCUGAUUUGGUGGUUGUGCUCGUCACAAAUCAAUGAAAUGACAGCAGUGAUUUUGCAAGACAGCAUACCUUCUCUUGGGGUGCUUUUCAUUUUGCAACAUUUCUUUACGUGUAAUUUCCAGAGGAGGGUUUAUCAUUGUAUAUAGCUCUUCGGGUGGUUUUUUCUGCAAAACAAAUGUCACAAGGAAGGAGGAGAAACGGAAAAGAUUUACUUGGAAUGUCUCAAGUCUCCUUUGAGAUAAAGGCAUCGAAUGCACAACAUUGUUUUUGUGCUAUUUCAUAAUUAAAGUGUGCUUCCCAAGUCUCCUUUGCGUUUUGUAACUUGUAAUGUUUGUUUUUUUGUUUCCCCUGUUUUGUCUUUUAUAAAAGAAAGAGGAAUGCUAGCAACCUUCUCUCUAAUCUUCUCUUUUGGACCUUCUCCCUUUUCUUUUUGACAAGUGUCAUUUUCCAUACACUUAAAACAAUGACAUUAAUGCAUCACACAAUUUAGUUUUUGUUUUCCAAGUUUACCAUUUUAAAAUGUAUUGGCUUUUAUAUUUCCUUCAAUUAUUCACAUUUUGUUAUAACUUGUUUAGCACAUUAUUUUUUUUAAUUUAAAAAAAGUCAUAUUUUUUAAAAAUAAAAAUAAAGUUUGUUUCAUGACAUUGUUAUCAUUUUUAUUUUGUUUUUAACAAAACACGCAUUCUCUUUGGAAAAAUUAAAAAUUAAAAAACAAUUCAGUUUUUAUUUUCUUAUUUAAUUUUUAACAAGCUAGUAAGAAAGUUAUAAAAAAAAAUUAGCUUGUUAUUAAAAAAAAAUUAAUACAUUUAAUAAGGGUAAAUUUGGAAAACAAAAACUAGUUUGUGUGAUGCAUUAAUGACAUUGUUUUUAGUUUAAGGAAAGUGACACUUGUCAUGAGAAGAAGGGAGAAGGUCCAAAAGAGAAGGUUAGAGAGAAGGUUGUUAGCACUCCCCAUAAAAGAAAUACAGGUCUGAACCACACGGAUCUACUUGCAUAAUAAUGGACCAAAUUUAUGAUUUUUAGAAAGAACCUUCUACUGGUGGAAUCUUGGGCUACUGUUGUGGCUCUCCUCUGUGUGCCUCCUUUUUAGAAUGGUAAAAUAUUCAAAAUACCAGAAAAUGUUCAUGAUUAAUGCAAAUAUUAAGAAUUGAAAUUAUUAAUUAAAUGAAGAUAAUAUGGUAAAUUCACACUUUUUCAUAUUAAAAAAAUUAAAAUUAAAAGAAAUAUCAGAUAAUUACUCUUAUUUUUAUGGAACACAGCUACCCAUUAUCUUUUUUAAUUAUAAAAUAAAUUUAAAUUAUAAAAAAAAAAUCCUCUCACAUGCACGGAAGCGCGUGCUCAGAGGCUAGUUAAAAAUAAUGAACUUUGCUUCUGAUGUCUAUACCAGACCCACUCAACCUGCUUUAUGAUUAUACAAAGAACAAACUCGUCCUUAGACUCAUUUGGUUAAACUUAGAAAAUAAUGAAACAAAAAUAUACACACCCACAAGUAACACAGCCAGGAUUGAAAACAACUGGACAAAGAAAGGCAUGUUAAAACAGAAUUUUCAACAACUCAUCACCAUUAGACAAGAAAAAGAAAAAUCAAUACAGAAACAGAAAGAACAGAGAAUAAAUGUGGUGGAAGAAAAACGUUGAAGCCAUUUGUGAAUCCAACAACACUACCACUCUGUUUCUCUCCUUUUGUUCAGGCGGAUCUGCAUAUAUCCUAAGGCGUAUUACGGAAACAACUUCUUGCCGUUAUACUUGAAUGUUGUGGAUGCUUCAACGUUGCCAUCUGGGUGGAGUGGAUUUGUCCAAUUCACCUUCACUAUGGUUAAUCAACUAGACAGACAUAAGUCAGAAACAAUAGGUAUAUAGGUCCAAAUUGUUGUUAUUUGAAAGGCUUCUAAAUUUUAACAUUUUGAUUUCUAAAUUUUGUUUUAAUAUUUCGGCCCACUUAGUUCUUCUCAAAAUAUGUCAUCAAUAUCGUUGAAAGGUUGAACUUAGUGAAUUAUUAUAGUGCAGUACGGUAAAAUAGGCACAUGAUAUAAUUUGUCCACAUGUUCUAAUAUAAGUGAAUAUUUAUUGAUAUUAUUUUCAAAAAUAAAAAAUAUCAACCAUUACAUCCUCCCAUAUUAUAAUACAUAUACAAAUUAUACCACAUUAUCAUACUCUAAUACCAUUUUAUAAUUUCUCGUACUUAGGAGGUAUAGAGCGAGUCAAUGACAUUACAUAAUAUAUAAUUGUUCAUAUAAUGGGGCAACUAACGUGAUCAACAAGUUGUGGUGAUUAAUUUAACAUAAUAAAAAACAUACCAUUUACUAUGUAACAAUUUGUUCUUUUAAAUUGGAUUGUCAUCACUUUAAUAUGUUAUGUUUCUUAUUCUAGUCUCCCAUGUUAAGUGCUUCAGCAUUGUUUGUGGUGUGUACACAAAUUUUCUUAUAAAAUGUUUUAAUGCUUCUCACAUGUAUAUCAGAUAUAGACAGUUGAUGUGACUUAGAAAUCAAAUUGUCAAUAAAGAAAAAAAAUAUAAUUGGUGAUCGAGGUCCAAUUUAAUAGAAAAUAGUCUUAAUUUGUAUAUUAAAGGUUUCAGAUUCGAAUCCUCACUGCAUUAUUGUUGUAUGCGUACACGAGAAAUUCUAUUUCCCAAUAAUUUAGAUUAUCACUUAUACUAAAAAAAAUAUAUAUAAUAAGUUUUACGAAUGCAAACAUAAAAUUACACCAAACAAUAAUGGAAUAGAAAGAUGGAAGUUUUUUUUUUUUCCUACAUCUAAAGUAUACUUUAUAUAUAUAUUUAUUAUGGGAGUUAUAACCGUUUAAUUUUCAGUUUUUAUUUUCUAUUUAUUGUGUUAAUUUUUAUGGUUUAAUAUGUAUGGAGAUUACAAGUAUUGGAUGUCUAUAAAGGGCCACUCCUCCUUCACAUCUGAAACAAACCACCAUCUCAUUUCUGUAUUUUCAUACUUUCAUAUAUUUUCUACUUUCCAGAUUAUUAUUUUUGGGCAACGGUUUUGUGACUUGGAGAUUUCUAUCCGAUUGUUAACAUGCUCAUAACGGACCUUGAGCUUGCGUAUUGGGGAUCGUAUCUUGGAGCCUUGUAGACCUUUAUUACGUGCAUGUAGGGAGGCUACAAAUGCUUUAGGUCAGCGUCUUUGACGUACUUUUGCUUUCUUUUUUUACUUAUUUCUUCGUUUCUUUAUUUUUACUUUACUUUUAAAUCUUUAUUUUAUGUAUUAUUUAUAUUUAAAAGUUUUGAAUAAGAGUUUUACAGAAAAGGAAAAACACAAUUUCAAAUAACACAAAUUUCUCGUUUUUUGUUCUUAAAAAAGAAGAAGCAUUGAUUGGGGAGUUAUGGUAAACUCAGUUUCAAUGGUUGCGAUGAGAGGCGGUGGCGGCGAGGAGAGGACGAAGGCUUUGCUGCCGACGGGGUGGUGUGGCUGGCUGCUUGGUCCUGGGUUCUCCUUUAAUUCUCUGUUUUCUUUUUUCAUUUUCUUUUUCUCUUAGAGUUAUUGAUGUUAAGUGAAUGGACAGAUGCCAAAAUAGGGACAGAAGAUGUGAACCCAAUUAUAUACAGCUGCUGCUAUAGCUGAUUACAUAAAGUAACAAAUUAAUUAAUGCUUGAGUGGAGGACAGGCUUGAGUGGAAGAAUUGAUUAAGGCUUGAGUGGAAGACAAACUUCAGUGGAGGAAAGUAUAGAUAAGGAAAGCAUGCCUCGUUUAACGGCUUUAUCUAAUAAAGAUUACUUGUUGGCACUUGGAGUUUCUUAGGAAUGCUGGUUUUGUUUCCUUGGUGGACUUGAAAGGUGGUGCCUUGGCUCGGACAUCUCCCAAGACAUACAACUGCUCAUUAGCUGAAUAUCUCGCUCUCUUUAAAGAGAUCGAAGCAAACACAAUUUGCAAUUUGUGUGAUUCAAGCAUGAAUAUCUGAUAUAGUAACUAUACCAUUUGUUGGUUUGAUAAGAAAAGUUUGGUUAGCGAGGAUGAAACCAUAAAGUUCCCAAAACACACAAAGAACACGGACAAUUGCUAAGUUUAUUCUUGAGUUCACACAUAUUUGCACAAAUGAGAUUAUUCCAAGCAUGAUUAUACCAUUUGUUGGUUUGAUGUGAAAAGUAUGGGCAACGAGGGGUAAAACCAUACAAACACACACGAAGAACGUGGACAAUACUAAAUUUAUCUUUACGUUAUUGAUCCGACCUAACUGUAAAAUAAAAAAGAUGAAAAUAUAUAAUGUUCAGUACUUAGAUCUAUGAGCACUUGCACAAAACAUCACUUUUGGUCUUUGGUAAAUUUUUAAAAUAAAUGAAUUUUUUACUUAUUUGUGAACUGAAAUGCCUCUAAAAAAAUAAUGAUAGUUCGAAGAAUUUGAUAGAAAUUAAAAAAUAUCCUCAAAUUACUUGGAAUUGAAGACCACAUAGGCAAAAACACGAAAUUGAAACCUCACUUUAAUGAUAAAAAUGGUAAACUACAAAGACAAAAAUGACGUCUUGCCUUAUAAAUAAUUGGAAUUUGCUGGUGAUAAUAGUCGAUAUCAUCUUUUGUCGGUCCGACCUAAAAAGAAGAAAAAGUUAAAAGCAUCUUGUACCAAUUUUUGCCAAUGUGGGCCCAAACAAUUUGAAGAAGUCCACCGGCAAUUUCUCAAAAGCUAUUGUGUGAGUGUGAAGCUAAACCAAUAUUAUUUUGCAUAUCCGACCCCACAUCCCCAUGUGAUGUGAGGCUACAGAGGUGUUUCCAAAACGAAAUAUGAUAUUUCAAAACGUAGCUAUGUAUAGAGUCAUUUGUAUUUGCUUUCACAAUAACAUUUGAUUUUAUAUUUAUACAUUCUGAUAUUUUAACAAAUAAAUUGACUAAAUUUGGCCAACAGGAUUUAGCCGAAUAGAAAAGUUCUUAUUUAUGGACUAGUAAUUUUAAAUUUAAAAUUUAGACUAUCGCAUGUAUUUAAAAAAAACUAAACAAUUGGCUUAAUUUGAUAUAUUUCCUUUUUUUCCUUUUUGCAUUUUAUGCUGGUUGCCGUUAUUAAGUUUUAUCCUUAUUUUUUGUUGAAAAGAAAAUUGAAAAAAAUAAUAAUAAUUCCUACAGCUAGCAACUUCUCCACCUACAAAAAAUAAUAUUUUUUGUUUUAUCCUCAUGUGAGGCUACAGAAAAUUUUUGAAAACGAAACUGGAUAUUUUAUCUCUAACGACAGCUUUCAUACUUCGUUUACCCUGUGUUUCCAAGUUGUGCUAGCUAUUUGCAAACCUUGGAAUAUUACUUCAUCCAAAUCCCUUGCAGAGAAAAGAAAGAUAUGGCUUUGAUCGGAGAGGCCCUCAUCUCUGCUACCAUCCAGACGUUGUGUGACAAAAUUGCUUCGCCUGAGUUCACCGACUUAUUUCGGCAGAAAAAGCUCGAUGAACAACUCCUCAACAAGCUGAAGACGACGCUGUUGACCUUGUCCGUAGUGCUUAAUGAUGCAGAGGAGAAGCAAAUUGAGGAACCUUUAGUGAGAGACUGGCUUGACAAUCUCAGACAUAAUGUCUUGGCUGCGGAGGACUUACUGGAUGAAAUCGACACUGAAGCUUUGCGAUGCAAACUGGAAGAAGGUGAAGGUCAAACCCACAAUUUAACCAAGAAGGUACGUGAUUUUUAUCAACGCAUGAAUGUUGAGAUGAAAGAUUUAUUAGAAAGAUUAGAACAAUUUGUACAAGAGAAAAGUGCUCUUGGUUUGAGAGAAGGUGCUGGGAGGAAGGUUUCACGAAGAACAACAACUUCCUUGGUUCAUGAACCUUGUGUCUAUGGUAGAGAUGAAGUCAAAGAAAAUCUGUUGCCAAUUUUGUUAUCUGAUGAUGCAAGUAAGGAUGAUGUGUCUGUCCUCACCAUUGUUGGAAUGGGUGGGAUUGGCAAGACAACCCUUGCCCGACUGCUUUAUAAUGACGAUGAGGUGAAAGAACAUUUUCCACUUCACGCUUGGGUUUGUGUUACGGAAGACUAUGAUUCUAAUAGGAUAACUAAAACUCUUCUAGAGUCAGUCACCUCAAAGUCUUCUAAUAUGACAGAUCUAAAUUUACUUCAAGUUGAACUAAAAGAACAACUCAAGGGAAAGAAAUUCUUAUUUGUUUUGGAUGACCUAUGGAAUGAGAAAUAUGGUGAUUGGAAACGCCUCCAAACUCCUUUUACUUCUGGGGCAAGGGGAAGUAAAGUCAUUGUAACAACACGGAGCCAACAUGUAGUAUCUGUCCUGCAAAGUGUUCAUGUUCAUCACUUGGAACCCUUGUCGCACGAAGAUUGCUGGUUCUUACUUGCAAAACAUGCAUUUGGAAAUGAAAAUUGCAGUGAUCCAAACUUGGAAGAAAUUGGCAAGAAAAUUGCACACAAGUUCAAUGGGUUGCCUUUAGCUGCAGAAACACUUGGGGGUUUGUUACGUUGCAAUAUAGAUUCAGAGGAAUGGAAUACAAUACUAAAUAGCAGUAUUUGGGAGCUACCCUAUGAUAAAUGUGACAUUCUUCCGGCUCUUGGGUUGAGUUACCAUUAUCUCUCCUCCCAGUUAAAACGAUGCUUUGUUUAUUGUUCAAUUUUUCCAAAGGAUUAUGAGUUUAAAAAGGAAGAUAUAGUUCAAUUUUGGAUGGCAGAAGGUUUAAUUCCAAAAGCUGAGAAUGGAAAGAGCAUAGAAGCGGUAGCUAGAAAAUACUUUGAUGAGCUGUUGGCACGAUCGCUAUUUCAAAAGUCAAGCAAAUCCGGUUUCACAAUGCAUGAUCUCAUUAAUGACUUGGCCAUGUUCAUGUGUAAGGCAUUUUGCCUUAGGUUGGAAGGGGGGGAAUCACAUGUCGUAGAAAAAGUUCGGCAUUUUUCAUAUGCUAUGGAAAGAUUUGAUGCAGCUCCAAAAUUUGAGCCAUUACAUAGGGCUAAGUUUAUGCGGACCUUUCUACCCAUAUCAUUAAAUUUUGUUUCCACUUCUUAUGUAACUAAAAAGGUUCUACAAGAUUUGUUGCCGUCACUAAGAUGUUUACGGGUGUUAUCAUUGUCACAUUAUCAAAAUGUUACUGUGUUACCUGAUUCUAUUGCAAACCUCAUUCACUUGCGCUACUUGGAUCUUUCCGGUACCGCAAUUGAAAGGUUACCUGGGGUACUUUGCAAUCUCUACAACUUGCAGACAUUACUAUUGUCAAAAUGUUUCUCACUCCUUGAAUUGCCUGCAGACAUUAGAAAAUUGACUAAUUUACAGAAAUUGACAUUGCUCGGUUGUAGUUCUCUUAAUAAAUUGCCUGCAGGCAUGAAGGAGUUGACUAAUUUGCAUCAUCUUGAUGUCAGUGGAACUAAAAUUGAAGAGAUGCCGGUGCAAAUGGGUAGAUUGAAAAGUUUGAGAACAUUGACUGCAUUUGUUGUGGGCAAAUCUACUGGGUUAGGCAUAAGAGAACUGAGGCAGUUCCCGCAACUUCGAGGAAAACUAUCAAUUUUGAAGCUACAAAAUGUAGUUGAUGCGAGGGAUGCACUGCACGCCAAUAUGAAGCACAAGAAAGAUCUCAAGGAGUUAAAGUUUUCAUGGGGUGCGGAGGAUGCUGAUGAUUCCCAAAAGGAGAAAGAUGUACUCGACAAGCUCCAGCCUUGCGUGAAUUUGGAGAAAUUAUCCAUCAAAUUCUAUGGUGGAACCAAUUUUCCGAAUUGGUUAGGAGACUCGUCUUUUUCUAACAUACAAGUCAUGCAUCUCAGUGACUGUAGUUAUUGUUGGUUGCUCCCACCAGUUGGACGGCUACCGGCACUCAAAGAGCUCUGUAUAAAAAGAAUGAAGUCUUUGAGGACGAUUGGCGUUGAAUUCUAUGGCAGAAAUGGAGCUUAUCUGACUCAGCCAUUUCGAUCUCUGGAGAAGCUAGAGUUUAGGGGGAUGCCGGAGUGGGAGGAAUGGGUACCAAGUGGAAGUGCAAGUGGAGGUGAAUAUGGUCCAGACUUUCCUCGUCUCCAAAAGCUGAUUCUAAACGAGUGUCCGAAGCUAAGAGGAAGUUUGCCUUGUGAGUUGCCUUGCUUGAAGAAGCUUACGGUGUAUGGGUGUAAGGUUUUACAUGAUGGAAGGACCGCUACCGCAACUACCAAUAGUGUUAACUAUAAAUCUCUGGAAGAAUUGGAUAUAAGUGGUGGAUGCCAAACUCUGUUAUCAUUAUUAGAGACAAAGCUCCUGUCCCGACUUCGGAUUCGAAAUGUUGUUGACAUACAGUGCUUGCCCAACUGCAAUCGUCUUCAACGUUUGACUCUUUGCCUAACGCUGUCAUCGUUUCCCAAAGAUGGCCUACCCACUACAUUGACAUCACUUUAUAUAAACAAUUGUAGGAAAUUAGAAUUCCUACCUCAUGAGAUGUUGGCCAAAUUAACAUCGCUUGACUAUUUGUGCGUACAAAAUAGCUGUGAUUCAAUGAGGUCCUUCCCGUUGGGCAUUUUUCCCAAAUUGACGACGCUUCAAAUUCGUGGUUGUGAGAAUCUGGAAUCUUUUUCCUUGAUUGAAGAAGAAGGAGCUGUUGACAAUCUCAGCCAUCUCAAUUCCUUGCGUGUCUAUAACUGUCCAAAAAUGGUGUGUUUUCACGAGGGAGAAUUGCCCACUCCCAACCUGAGUCACUUUGUAGUCAUUGGUUGCGAGAAUUUGAAGUCAUUGCCCGAACGCCUUCACACCCUCACUGCCCUUCGAUCUUUGAAUAUAUGGAAUCUUCCGAAUCUGGAGUCAUUUGCAGAAGAUGGGGGUUUGCCUCCCAACCUCCGAUCUUUUAUCAUUAGGAAUUGUAAGAGACUGAGGGCACUUGACUCAGUGGGUUUGCAAGCACUUGUCUACCUUCAGAUCGAUGGAAGUGACCAUGUCUUGGAGACGUUGCUGCUCCCUACCACUCUUCACACUCUCUGCAUCUCUGAUCUAUCAACUCUGAAAUCUUUGGACGGAAAGGGUCUUGGACACCUCACUUCUCUUCAAACUCUAAAAAUUUACAGCUGUCCAAGUCUUCAAUGCCUGCCAGAAGAGGGUUUGCCGCCAUCUCUUUCUCAUCUGAGUAUCCGCUGUUGUCCUACCCUGGAGGAAAGGUAUAAGAAUAAAACGGGACAAGAUUGGGCAAAGAUAUCUCACAUUCCUUGCAUCGAGAUAGGGGAAGAAGUGAUCAUAUAAUAUGAGCUAUUCCAUAUUUCACGCUCAACCCUCAACUCUCAAAUCAAAGUCAGGUGAGGUAUGUGCCUUCUCUUACUUUAAAAAACUGCUUCUCUUCUUCUAAUUGAAUACAAAAACCAAAACACAUAUUCUCUUUCUCUUCCAAAAACCCAAAUACAUGUUGGACAUUGCCCAAAUUUGUCUCCAAAUUCCUAGUUUAAAUCAAAUUUAAUGCCUAUGGAUAGUUUGUUAAUAGGUUCAUGCCAUGAAUUAAUCUUUGGACUUUCCCAGGUACUGCAGGUUUGUUAUUAAUGUUGUGGCCUGAUAUUCGUCGUAUCAAUACGUUGAGGAGAGAGAUCGAUCAGCAAUUACAAAAUUGUUAGUGAAUUUAGCUUGUUUAUCAUCUCUCUCCUUUUGUUUGUUAAGUUUUGUUGUUCUAGGUUAAACCCUUGUCCCCGCAUUUCACAGCAACUCUGUGUUUUUCCACUCUGUUUAGAUUUCACUAGCAGGAGAGCCCGCGCGAUGCUGCGGGUUUUGAAAUUGUGUAGACAAAAUUAGAUUGUUUAUAUAUACAAUGAGAUUUAAUUUAUAACAUUAUGUUUAACUACAGGAGUGUAAGUUGCAAAAAAGUAUAUAAUAACAUAUUUUACAGGCUACUUGUUAUGGUAAAAUACUAUACUUGUUUGUAUAUACAUUGAGAUGUUUAUAGUAGGAAGUAGGCAUCAAAAUAGCAAAAGUUGGAUAGUUUUGUACAGAAUGUUAUUUAAUUGGGCAAGCUUUGUUUUGCACUUGCUUCAUGAUUUUUCUUCUCUUUCAUGGAAGUCUUGAUCCUGUUAUAAAAAAAAGUGAGAAAAUAGUAAAUGUUAAUAUUGAUGAAUGGGGGAAAUUGAGUUAGGACAAUAAUCAUAAACAUUUAAUUAUGUAUAAACAGGAAUAAUAUAAUUUAUUGAUUUAAUAAGAAAGUUAUAAAUAGUUUUUCAAUCUAGGAAAUACAAAGUUACAAAAUUAAGAGAACUAAUGAGCAAGUUGUAGAUGGUUUUCUAAUUGAAGUAAUACAAAGUAAACAUAUUUUAAAUUUUGUGUUUGUCUAAAAGAAAAGUUGAAGAGAGGCAAAAUAAUUAUGGUUGAAUAUAUGGAGAAAAGGAUGUCAAUAUAAUGUUUAGGUUUUUAUGUAUUAGGAAUAUAUGACUUUUUUGCUGUUAUUUAGAGCAAAAAUUAUUUAAGGGCUUGACAUUUCUGUUAAAAAACGGGUAGAAUCUACCCUGAAAAAUGGACAUUUUGCCAAAAAAUUCACCUGUAAACUAAUUAGUACUGAAUACCGAUUGGCGAAGGCAAGACAAUCAUAGUUGUGGAGUACAUAGUUAGAAAGAUGAAUGUGCAAACGUACAUCUAACCCCAUGAUAUACAUCUAACCCCAUGUGAACAUGAUUUAUUCUACAACAAUGAUUAUCAAUUUUCUAAUUGCUCAUUUUCCUAACCCUAAUCAUCACAAACCCAAAAUUAACUCUAAAAAUUUCAAAUAAGCAUGGUUCUAAACCAAUUUCUAACUUACUUAGCGAAGUCUUUUCUAUAAAUGAUAGUUGUUGAAGAAAAAGGGAAACGAAAAUAAGCUUUUAGUGUAUAAGUACAUUGAAGCAAAACAUGAAGAGAAUCCAAUAUAUAACUUCAAUAUAUAACUUUAAUUUUCUAUAAGUGUUGAUCUAAAUUUACAUCCCUUACCACUCUUCAAUUUAAAAAUAGUUUUAGCUACAACAAACAACUUCAGAGAGAAGAUUUGGCCCUGUUUUAUAAGGCAAAACCUCUCUAACCACAUGACAUACAUCUAACUCCAUGUGAACGUGAUUUAUUCUACAACAAUGAUUAUCAAUUUCCUAAUUGCUCAUUUCCCUAACCCUAAUCAUCACAAACCCAAAAUUAAUUCUAAAAAUUUCAAAUAAGCAUGGUACUAAACCAAUUUCCAACUUACUUAGUGAAGUCUUUUAUAUAAAUGAUAGUUGUUAAGGAAAAACGGAAACAAAAAUAAGCUUUUAGUGUAUAUGCACAGCACAGAAAUUGCAUGUAGCUUUCCGAUUUUUAUCCCAACUUCGUUUCUGUGGAAUCACAAAACUACAUACGCACAGCACAGGGAAGGGAAAAAAAAAAAAAGGCACAUUUAAGAGACACCUAUCUUCUCAUUCUACAUCACAUCCUCUUUUCCUAGCUUUCCAACCUUGCAACCAAAGCAAACAUCUUUCCUGAUAAAGGGUAGGAAAGAAAGUGGUUGUGUGAAUUGGGAUGAGAGAGACAGAGACAGAGACAGAGACAGAGAGACAAAGAGAGAGAGAGAAAAGAGAAAUCAAAGUAUAUAUAUAAAUAGUAAGUAUAGUUUAUAUCAUGCAAAGUUUUGAUGGUUUCGUUCAAAAAAAAAACAGGGAAAAAGUUUUGAUGGGUAAUUCUAGUAAUAAUGUUCUUAUAAUUCUAUAUAUAUAUAGAUAUCAAACUGUACUACCAUAUUCUUCCUAUAUAUACACUUGGUCGUCAACUACCUCUCUCUCUCUCUCUCUCUCUCUCUCUCUCUCUCUCUCUCUCUCUCUCUCUCUGUGACCUGCAUUUAUACAGAACCAAUUAUUCCAUCUUCACUAUACAUUUUCCUCAUCUUCCCAUUCAUAUUUUAUGGCUCUCUUGUUCUUCCUCCUAAUUCUUUUGGUCCCUGCAAGCAAUACUAAUUGGCCACCAUCACCUGGCUACUGGCCAAGUUCUAAAUUCAGGUCUAUGAGCUUUUAUAAAGGAUUUAAAACUCUCUGGGGUCCUCAGCAUCAAAGCUUAGACCAACAUGCAUUAACAAUCUGGGUUUAAUGAGGCCAGAAAAUUUUAAGAACUUAUCUACCAAGCAUACCAAACUGACAAAGCAAACCAUAUCUGUAUUUUAUCAUCAAUUUCAUCAAUUUUAUCACCAACAACAGAUAAAAAAAGGGAAUUUUUUCAAAAAAAAAAAAAAGGAAAAAACAUAAAUAAAAAAAGGGGCACAUUUAAGAGAGACCUAUCUUCUCAUUCUACAUCACAUCCUCUUUUCAUUUUGAAGCGGUCAUGUGUUGUGAGUUUCUUGUUUUAUAAAUUUUCAAAACUGUUGUUUAGAACUGCAAAAUUCUUCAUCAUAUAUCUUGCCUUCUAAUAUACAUUCUGUAUCAGGAAACUGGAAUGAGGCUUGCUCUUUGAGGAAGAGAAAUAAAAGAAAAAGUUGUGGCAAAGGUUCACGGAUGUAGUUGGAUUGUAGUGGGACAGAGAACAAAUUUAUUUGUUGCAGGGGAAAAGUCUCAUCCAAAUGCUAUGAAAUCAUGGCAACUUUAAAGUAUUGGACAGCAAUAAUGAAAGAAGAGGGCUAUGUUGGUGACACAGAUUCUUGCUUGCAUGAAUAAGAGGGAGAAAAGCCCCUAUGGUAUUGACUGUUGCCGCCAAGUGCAUAUUGUUAUUACUAUGCGUACUACAUCCCAAGGCCUCUCUCAGCAGGAUUACAAAGUAAACCAGAAUUACUAUCCCAGCAGUAUUCUGCAACUUUGCUCUGCACUUCCUUAUGUAAUCUCUCUCUCUCUCUCUCUCUCUCUCUCUCUCUAUAAAUAUAUAUAUACACACACACACACACACACACAUAUAUCUAGGCAUGCAUAUUUAUGAGUUCCCCAUUGAGGAGGGAUUCCCUUUUGAGGAUUUUAUAAUUAGAAUUAGACUGCCUUCUUAACCAAUAGUUGGGUUUGUGUGGUAAGGUAUGCUGGGUUUGUUGAUGUGGAUAUUUAUGCCUGGAGGUGCUUUGUUUUACUACUUCGUUGAAGUAGAAACAGACACUGACAAAGAAGCCCUUCAUUCUUUGUCUCAAUAGUGAUUGGUUUCUUUGAUCCUAUUCAUCAUAUCUGGUGGUGAGGUUGCCUAAUCAGCCAAAUGUUGGGUUCAACUACCUCUCUCUCUCUCUCUCUCUCUCUCUCUCUCUCUGUCUCUCUCUCUCUUUCUCUCUCUCUCUGUGACCUGCAUUUAUACAGAGCCAAUUAUUCCAUCUUCACUUUACAUUUUCCUCAUCUUCCCAUUCAUAUUUUAUGGCUUUCUUGCUCUUCCUCCUAAUUCUUUUGGUCCCUGCAAGCAAUACUAAUUGGCCACCAUCACCUGGCUACUGGCCAAGUUCUAAAUUGGCCAGAAAAUUUUAAGAACUUAUCUACCAAGCAUACCAAACUGACAAAGCAAACCAUAUCUGUAUUUUAUCAUCAAUUUUAUCGCCAACAACAGAUAAAAAAAGGGAAUUUUUUCAAAAAAAAAAAAAAAAAAGGAAAAAACAUGUUUAGUCUUUGCUUUCCAAUGUUUUAUCCAAAAACCUGAAAAUCAAAGUAACUAAAUAAAUGAACCCAAUCAUUCCUAAUUUCUAUUUUGUCAAAACCUAAUUAAGCUUCACUUCUUUUUUGCUUGUAUUUUAUCAUCAAUUUCAUCUAUUUUAUCACCAAUAGCAGAUAAAAAAAGGAAAUUUUUUCAAUUAAAAAAAAAAAAAACAUACUCAGUCUUUGCUUUCCAAUGUUUUAUCUAAAAACCUAAAAUCAAAGGAAUCAAAUAAAUAGGGUUUAGGGCUCAAGAACCUGAAAUCAAAAGAACCAAAAAAAUGAACACAACUCUACAUAGCACGAAAAAUCUCCCAGCCAACAAUCAAAUUCAUGAAAUAAAUACCAAAAGAUCUGUUAAAAAAUUGAUGAGAUGCAUACCUGAAAACAAAGGAUGCAACAAAGAUGGAAGCCUGAGUCGAAGCAAGAACGAUGGAAGCCUGAGUCGAAGCAAGAAAGAUGGAAGCCUGAGUCGAAGGUUGUAGAAAAGACGAAAUCUCCCGAUCCCAAAUCUGUGACACGAAGACUGAAAGCACGGCUGGAUUUGCAGCUCACCUCCCAAACAAAAAUCGACGGCCUUCAACGCAUCUCCAGCAACGAACACAACUCUUCCAUGGCUGCCCCCCAACCAGCUGGUUGGAAACGAACGGGAGAAAAUGGUUUCUCUCAGCGGACGAAACCAUCUCAACGAAGGGGGAGGGGCAAAAACGGGAACAAAAGAAACUGUUUAGUCAAGGGCAGUUUCGUCAUUUAACUGUGCUGCAGGAAAAAAAACGAAAACAGCAGAAAAAUGAGGGGCAUUUCCGUCAUUACACUGUGCUUAGCUACAGUGUUUAGUUGCAUUGGGUUUUAGUAUAUAUAUAAUUUAUGUUGUGAUUCGACUGCUGCUGUAUUUUAGAUUUAUAGGAACAGACCAAACAUGUUGAUUCUAUCACCAAAAUUAUAAAGUAUACUUCCAUUACAAUUAAUUUGUUGAUUCUAAUUUGGACUUGUAGGAACAGACCAAACAUGUUCAUACGUGGCAUUGCUCAAGUCAUCAUCAUUCGGGACAGAGAAUAAGCCUUCAAAUGUCUGCUGAGUCAAUGAACCUUUCUAGAUAUCUCAAGUGUAAUGGAAAUUGAUGAGUUACAAAGGAUUUGUAAACAUUUUCUACUGGAGGCUAGAAAUGCUUCAAAUAAAUGACUCUGUUGCAAUUAUUUUGUAGGAUCAAAGACUCUGCAAAGAGGUAAGAAAGUCAUCAUCAAGUAACUUCGCUCUUCAUACUUUUUAUUAGGGGUGGGCAUUGGAACCGCAAAACCGCAAAACCGAACCAACCCAAUCCGAAAAAAACCGAAAAAAACCGUGUUGACCGAAAAAGUCAAAAACCGAGACAAAUCCAAACCGAACCGGUUCAGACCGGUUCCGGUUCCGAUUUUCCACCUUAAGGAACCGGUCCAAUCCGAACCGGUCCAAUAUAAUUAAUUUUUAUAUUAUAUUUAUAUUUAUAUUUAAAAUAUCAAAUUUUGUAGGCCCAAACCCAACUAUUUCAUUAUACCAACAAAAAGCCCAAAUCUCCCAAGUCCAUUGCCCAAGUCCAACAAGCCAUAUUUUAAUAUCCUAAUCACAUCAAAUCUCACUUCACUCUCUCUCUCUGACGCACUCUCUCUUUUCCUCUCAGAUUUUUUUUACUCUCUUUUUCUUUCUUUCUUCUCUCUUCCGCCUCUUUUCCUCUAGGUUCUUUAACUUCUUUUUACUUCUUUCUUUCUUCACUCUUCUGCCUCUUUUCCUCAGUUUUUUCUUCUUCUUUCUCUCUUAUUCUUUCUCCUCUCAAUUCGUCUCCAUUUUUUUUCCCUCUCUUUCUCUGAUUUUCUGUUACUCUGAUUUUUUUCUUCUUGGUUUUAUGUUUCUCUCUCUCCCUCUAUAUCUCUUUCUUUGCAACUCUGUUUUUCAAUUUCUCCUUUUUUUUCUCUCUUCAUUUUUUGUUUCUCUGUACAUAUAUGUGUUCAUCUUGUAGAUCUGGGUGAAAUUCUUGUAGAUCUAGGUGAAGUUCUUGGAGAUCUGCGUUAAGUUCUUGUAGAUCUAGGUAAAGAGCCAAUUCAAAGCAGGUCAGCGUCUCUUAUCUCCCCAAUCCCUUGUGAAGAUAUGUAUUUUUUUUGUUGUCAACAAUCCAUUUUGGUGUUUUUAUAUGGUAUUGAUAUUUUCUAUGAUUUUGGGCUGAUUUGAGGUCUGAUUCUUUUUUUUUCUUUCAAUUUUUUCCUGUUGUGUUUUGAUAGACAUGUUCUCUAUUCCUGAUAUCAUUCCUCAGUGGCAAAAUCUUUGAGCGUUGUUGUAAAUUUUAGACGGGAAAGAAGCUCAUUCAUAAUUCAAAAAAAGAAAAUAAAGUUACAACAACUGACAAUUUGUUGCUCUUUGAAAUAGGUACUGAAGUAGCAUGGAUAAAAAGAAAGACUGAAGAUGUUGCAGAAGAUUGAAUAUGUUCUAUUUCUGUAAUUUGUUUGUAAUUAAAUUUGUUUAUUUUGUUUUGUUUUUAGGUUGUAAGUUUUAUUUUAAUGUUUGAUAUUUGUUGUUUUGUCAAAAAAUUGUAUUAAUGCUUGAUGGAUUCAUUCAAUUUGCAGUGCGUGGAUGUGAAUUGGGCCAAUCGGUAAUAAUUAGGCCCAAAAGGUUUUAAAUAUCAAUUGGGCUGAAACUUACAAAAAAAUUUAAGAACAAAAAAAAAAUCAAUUAAGCUGUGUGUCGGCCCAAACCGUAAAAACCGGAACCGAACCGGAUUCAAAUGGGUUCGGGUUGGUCCGGUUUUCUCAAGCAUUUUAGUAAAAAUCCGAACCGGACCGGACCGGUGAACAGUACCGGUUCCGGUUUUAAAUUGAUGCAAAAACCGGUCCAAACCGGACCGUGCCCACCCCUAUUUUUUAUUUUUAUUUUUAAAUAUCAGUAAUAACUGGGAAAGCUUGCAUCUCCUUAAAUUGCUCAUUCUUACAUCUUUUAUAGUUUGUUGAUCUUGGGCAAGUGGAGAGAGAGGCGUCAAGUGAUACGCAACAACCAUUUUCUGUGAGCUGAUUUGAUAAAGAGAAAUGGUAUGCUUUCUUGUCUUAAGCGGUGUGUUCUGCAAUUAUUUGAAACAAAGGAUGCCGCACUUCAAGUUCGAGAAAAUCAGGUAUUUUAGUAUUUUAUUCUUGAGAAAUUUGAUUUAUGUAGAAACUUGAACAUGUAAAUGAGAGAAAAAAAAAUAAAUAUAUAUAUAUAUUAUAUAUUGUAUAUGCUGUUAAUGAGUUAAUAUGGUGCUUGCUCCUAGUUGGAAAUUUAUGUAGUCAUCUACCUAUGAUCAAAUAAAGAUGAAAAAUAAAAUAAAAUUGAGAGCAUCUUCCUCUCCCCUGCUUUGCUCAUCCCUUGUUCUUCCACUUCAGCCCCACUAUUACACCAUUUUUUUCAGCCACAAUUAUAAUAGCUCCAUGAGCAUUAAGUCCCUUUCAAAUUCUGCUGACAUUCAAAAUUGGAAUCUGCUGGUGAUAUAUGAUAGCGUUAACAUAUUGUACCAUUUUGGCCAGUGUACGCAAUAUUAUUGCAUCCAACUUUGCAUAUUAACAUCAGUGGCCACAGUUACACGAUUUGAGUGCACAGAAAGGUUUCAAAAGUUGUCCCACAGAGAACAGUCGUUCAAAGUGAGAGAGUUUUGAAAGCUUAAUUACAAGUUCAUGUUGUUUACAACCUCAAAAAGCUUUCAUACUUGCUUACAAACCUGUAUUUCCAAGUUCUGCAAACCUUGGAAUAUCACUUCAUCCAAAUCCCCUUCCAAAGCAGGAAAAAAUGGCAGCAGCUUUGAUUGGAGAGGCUCUCAUCUCUGCUUCUAUCGAGGUGUUGUGUGACAGAGUUACUUCAGCCGAGUUCAUAGACUUAUUUCAGCAGAAGAAACUUGAUGAAACACUCCUCAUGAACCUGAAGACGACACUGUUGAUUUUGUUUGCGGCGCUCAAUGAUGCAGAGGAGAAGCAAAUUGUGAACCCUGCUGUGAUAGAGUGGCUUAACAGCUCAAGCAUGCUGUCUUUGAUGCAGAGGACUUACUUGAUGAGAUUGACACUGAAGCUUUGCGAUGCAAGCUGGAAGGUGAGGAUCAAACCCACAAUAAUUAACCAACAAGGAUCUUUUUGAUUGUUUGAAAGGAGGGUCUUUGAUGAUUUGAAAGGAGAGGGUUGCUUCAUUUCUGUUGGAUGCUUAAUUAAAUCUUAUCUGGACUUGAACAAGGAUUAGGUUAGCUGUAUAAUUCGUGGUAAACACCUUUUUCUAAGGUUCAUUUAGACUCCUAUUACGAUUAAUUUGUUGUUUCUAAUUUGGACUUGUAGGAACAGACCAAAUAUGUUCACACGUGGCAUCGUUCAAGUCAUCAUCAUUUCAGACAAAAUCAGCCUUCAAGUGUCUGCUGACUCAAUGAACCUUUCUAGAUAUAUCAAGUGCAAUGGAAAUUCAAGAGUUACAUAGAGAUUUGUAAACAUUUUGAAGAUUGCAACACCUGCAAGUGAGAUAGGUGGUGACGAAAUCAGAGCUGAUCUUGAAGCCUCUGAUGCCCCUGUCGUUGCAAGUUGCACCUGAGAACAUGGUUUUUUUUUGGGUAAAAAACCAGCAACAUGUUCGGGGCUGGCAAUUCAAUCCCUGAUGAACUUGAGAAGCAAAGCUCCAGUAAGGAAAUUGGUCGAGGUCACGACAGGGAUAAUUGAUGGUGAAAUGGAUGCUAUUUCUUAUUGCAGCCUGUUCUCAAAGUUCUUGUUGGCAAAAGCAAGAGAUGGAGUAUUUUGAUUGGGAGGAGAGAUAAUGACAUGUGUUGACAAUUCUAGAACAGCCCAUCUGAGUUCUUUUGUCAGGCUGCAUCAUUUAAUCCCAGCAAAAAUCCAGUUUUUGCUAAACAAUCAAAUUGUACACAUUUUUUCUUUUCGAGGAAUUUAACAUUACACAUUUUUUCAUUUUUUCAUCAAACAGUUUUCUAAUGCAUUUGUUGUCCCAAGUUACAAUGAGGAAUUUGGAUUGAGUUUCUUGUGUUAAUAACAUUAUACUUUCAUGGAAUGGUUUAUCUUCUUUUUCUGGACAAAAAUAUUUAGAUUAAUUUCUUGGAAUAAUUUUUUAAUAAUUUUUUAAUUGCAGUAGCGAAAAAAGGAAAAUUGUAUUUUUCAAAACCAAUCUUAAGUCCAGUUUCCUCUUCUUGGUCGUCACACUUGGAAAUUGCUAACCAUAUAUAACUUGGGGUAACAAUCUUAGUCCGAAUGUGUACGAUCUUAGUCCGAUCAAUGGCUACGCGUAUUGGCUCGGCCUUGGGGUCUACCAUUCCAGUGUACAAGCUUCCUGGGUCUUGGGGCAAUUCCUUCAAAUUGUACACAUGUUUUCUUUGAGAAGCAAGGCUCUAGUAAGGAAAUUGGUUAUGUAACAAAUUUUGGUCCCUUUGGAUGGAAUGAUUUACAAUGAGGAAUUUUAUUAUUAUUAUUUUGUUUUUGUUGUUAGUGUAAUGAAAAUGAUCUAGGUUCAUACACUGGGUAUAGCUCUAAUUUGGCCAAUUUCAUUAUUUUAGUUUCUUCAUAUUUUCAAUUAUUAUAAUUUGGUGCGUUGUUUUUUAAAAACAUUCAUGAGAAUCUCCAUUUUUUAGGUGUUUAAGUUAUUCAUCCACAACGGUUUUAUAAUACCGUCAUCUUUUCAAACACAACGAUGAUUUUUUAAUCUAUCGUCGUUGUUUUCUGAUCGUCUUUUUCACUUUUUGUAGUAGUGUCAAUAAGUAAGAUGAAAUAAUACAUUCACAAUCUGUUUAAAUUUUAAAUUAAAAAAAACACAAGAAAAUUUUAAAUAAGUAAGUAAUUUUAAAUAUAUAUUUCCAUUGUUUUGGUUUUCUUUUCAUAUUAGUUUUCUACUAGCUGCUAAUUUCAUUUAAAUUGUUUUUCUUACUUCAUUUAACUUUUAAGCAUGCAGAUGCAAUCAUGACUUCUUCUUUUUUUCAAUAGACUGAUUCUCUUCCCACAUAUAUAAUGCUCUCUAAGUAUUCGUAAUAUGAGUAGGAAUUUAUUUUCAUUUCACAAGAAUUGUCCAUCAAAUUCUGAUAGGUUUGUCGAUAGCACAAGCAUGCACAUAUAGACACUACAAGAACUUUGUUUCUUCAUUUUGUUUCCUAAAGAUUUGUUGGCUUCGUGCAGAUGAAUAACAAGUCUCUCUGUCCUCUAUUUCUUCUUUUUCUUUUUUAACAAUUCAUAUUCUACUUUCUGUUUUCACCCAGUAAAAAUUGAUUUUAGACAUGGGCUUCUAAAUUAUGUGCGGAUAAUGGUUGCAUUUAUAGAAUAUCCAUGGGCUUCUAGUCACCGUGGUUGUUGAUUCAGCAUGUCAUAUUACUCUUGGACUAGCUGUUGACACUACUACAUUUUACACUUUGCGCGACGAAGAACAAAACGUCGCGCAAAGUCGCAUUUAGUCGCCCCAAUUUCAGCGCGACAAAAACGUCGUCGCGCAUAUUCCGUCGCGCGAAGAUCGUGAAGAAAGCCUUUGCACGACGAGGUACAACCCUUCGUCGCGCAAAAGUGUGCGACGGGUAAACCAUCGUUGCACCAACGGUGUGGAGACGAAACAACCCUUCGUCGCAAAAAUAUUUGCGCGACGAUAAAUUAUGCGGCGCACGUAUAUUUGCGAGACGACGGGAAUUGCGCGACAAAACAUUAUUCGUCGCGCAAAAUAUGUAUGGGAGACGUAUAUGUUCGUCGCAGAACAAUUCGCGCGAUGAGAAAGUUUUCGUCGCACAUAUAAUUGCGCGACGAAAAAUUAUGUCGUCGGCCAAAUAUUUUGCGCGACGAAACAUUUCGUCGCGCAAAACGUGUUAUGUGUUCGUCGCGCAUGAAUUAAAAGUGAUAAAAAAAUAUUUGAUUUUUUUUUGUUACAUGUUGGUUUGCGCGACGAAAGAUUUUCCGUCGCGCAAAAAUAAUAUUACAAUUUUUUUUUUAUUUAUAUUUUUUAUUUGAUAUAAAAUUGGUUUCUUUUUAUUGAUUAAACAAUGAAAUUGCAAUAAAAAUAAAUUAGAAUAAAAUUUUGUUAUAAAAUAAAAUAAAAUAAAUGUAUUACAAAUAAAAUAAAUACACUAAUCAAAUAAUGAAUCAAAAUCAACCGAGUCGUCGCCAGUAUGCGGCUCGGAGGGCGGGGCGUUCACCGGGGCAGUGGUCUGGUGGGGAUGCCCGGGAUGGACGGGCUCAGAGGUCGGCGCAUCAAAAUGCGGGACUGGAAUGCCGGACUGUGCGAGGGACUGCAGAAUGACCGACAUCUGGCUCUGAAGAGUGGCCACCUGUGCUGUCAAAGCAGUGACCUGACUGUUUGACUGCGCCGAUGAACGAGGUCGAGGUUCCCUCCGCCGGGCAUUCCCCAUCCCUCGACAAUAUGUCCCCGGCCUCCUCCCGAGAGUCUGAUCCAACGUCUCCGUCAAUAUCUGAAAUCCAGCAUCCUGUGGAGGAGCCACAGACUCGAUCGGAGUCUCGGGAGGAAGCUGGGAGGCGGACUCCUGAAGAACAAGCUGGCUCCUCUCCACCAUCGUCGUCUGUUGAACAUAACAUAAAAUAUAAAUUAAAACAUGCAUAUAAAUUGAAUGCGUAACAUAAGAAUUAAAAUUAAAUAAUACUUACAUGAAGGGACUCGGCCAACUCAUUCCCGGGUCGAACAUAAACGUCACCAAAGACGUCGAUCUCUGGGAACUUGGACCCCUCCUAAAUUGAACAAGAGAAGAAAAAUAUUAGUAUGAAAAAAAUAAAUUAAUAAAAAUGACAUUAAAAAUGAAAUAAAAAUUUUGUGAUUAUUACCCGACGCCGUGCAUCCAUCCUAUAAGAAAAGGGUCUGGAGCCGGAAUGGUGGAGAAGGGUCUUCUUCUUCCUAUUACCCUUAUUCACUUGGGCUUUAUUCUGUUAUACAAAAAAUGAAACGUAUUAGUUAAAAUAUAAAAAAUUAAAUAAUAAUGAAAUAAAAAAAUAAAAUAAACAUUAAUAAGUAAUAAGUAAUAAUUAAACAAAUAUAAUUAAAAAAAUACCGCAAAUUCGGGCGCUUGAAAAUGAGCGCAGAGCCACUCCCAACUAUCCUCCCGCCCCUCAAGCUCCUUCGGGCAACCCUCCUGAAGAGCGACUUGCGGAUCAUCAUAGGCCUGAAAAUGGUGGUGCAAGUCGCUCUUCCACUGCUUGUACCUCUCAGCGAAGAGUCGGUUGACGUACGUCAACGACUCUUCGUCGAGAUCCUCCAAGUUAUAGUUCGUCUGCAAUCAAUUAAUUAGAUACGUUAAGUAAUAGAAAUAUACACAAUUUUAAAGAAAAAUAAUGAAAAUGUAAGGUACAUACCGACAACUGGCCGUGAAUCUCCGCCUGGAUCUCGUCAGGCAUGACCCUCCAAGACUUCCAUUGCAUCGGGCAAUGGGUCCGCACGACGUGGCCAAUGUCGUGGGCCAAGGAGCUAUGCAACUUCGCCGUCGGUGCAGCACGAUGGCGCUCGUCGUAUCCGAUGCUGAUACGACUGUUGGUCACCCGGGUGACCUUCGCCGUCUUCAGCUGACGACACGGUCCUCGGGUGUUCCUCUUCGCUGCAAAGAAAUAAGGUAUUAAUGUUAAAUAAAAAAACAUUGUCAAAUUUCAAUAUAAAAUUAACAAUACAAAAGUGUAGUUAUACCUGGCUGUGAUCCCGAGGCACCAGUACCGUCGGUCGAUGUCGUGUCGAUGGUGUCGGUGGGCCGGUGCCGCCGCCUAGCACUAGCUGGUUGCGCCACGGAUGACGCAGAUGACACAGGCGCCUGGGGCGCCCCGGGACCAACCACCACGUGGUCCAACAAAGCAGGAGCAGUGGCAGCAGAUGCCGACUGAGCCAGGGGAUCCGAACUCGGUGCAGUCGUCAUCGACCUACCACGUCUAAUCAAGUCUGACAUCUGCACAUAUAAUUUCAUUCAGAAUGUAAACUAAUUAAUUAAAAGCAUAGCCUGACCUAGGGUUUGGAAUUUCGGAGUAUCCGGGACUCCGAUCAACGAUCGGUCGAAUCCUAAACGAUCCUAGAAACACAAAGGUACAACUACGCGAGUUUCAGUUCGAUCCAACGGUCCGAACAUAUCAAACCUGGAAAUCGCACAAUAGGCGAAAUUCGAUCAAGACUCAAACGGUAACCAAAUUCAAAUCCGAGCAAACCUACGCGCUCGUGACAAACAGGGGAUCGCUCUGGGACACAAUGCCCCACUGCCACAGCAUCCCACGCGCCGGCAGCGCGUGGGUGUCCAAAGCGAUAACAUUCGCCGGAAAAUUCUAAAAACUAACGGCCAAGGUUCCUACCCUAGGUUGAAAACAAUAUUUGGCGCCACUUUUGUUCUCGGACCUACCCCGAAAAAUGGCCGGAAGUGGCCGGAUUUGAAAUUGCCAAACCGGCCAAAACCUAGGGUUUUAAUUCCUAUUUCCUAUACCCAUCAGCUAGAGCACAAAAAAUAGUCGAGAAAUCAUACCUCAGGCGUCGGAAAUGGUGGCCGGAGGAGAGAGAAAACGGCCGGCGAGGAAUCGGUGAAAAACCGACGAUGUGCGACGGCAGGCUCGACGGCGAAGGCAGGGGAGGCUAUGGCAGGAGCGGCGGUGGCUGAGGUGACGGCGGAGAGAGAGGGCUGAGGUGACGGCGGAGAGAGAGGCAAACGGAGGAAAAAACCAGAAAUGGGGAAGAAGGAGGCAUCGCGACGUUUCUGCAAAUUUUUACGACUUUGCGCGACGAAUCACAUCAUUCGUCGCGCAAAAUGCUAUUAAUGAAUCUUGCGCGACGCUAUAUCCGUCGCGCAAGAUCUGUCAGAACGCCAAAUUCUGAAAGUGGAUUAGGGUCUGUAAGUUUUGCGCGACGAAAUAGACAUACUUCGUCGCGCAAAAGGCUGUCUUUCCGCCAAAAUUUUGGGAUUUAGGGUUUAGCGGGAGGCUGAAACUGAAGGGUUUGCGCUUUUGCGCGACGAAGACGGUAAACGUCGCGCAAUGGUAACCUUGCGCGACGGAACGUAUUAUAUUCGUCGCGCAAAAGGCUAUCUUUCCGCCCAAAUUUUGGGAUUCAGGGUUUAGCGGGAGGCUGAAGGGUUUGCGCUUUUGCGCGACGAAGACACUAAACGUCGCACAAAAGGCUGUCUGCUGAAAUGAAUGGUUUCUGCUUUUGCGCGACGAAGACAAUAAACGUCGCGCAAAACGUUGUCGUUCCGCCAACAAUUUGGGGUUUAGGGUUUAGUGUGAAAACUGGCGCCCAGAUUGCGCGACGAAGAGUACAUAUUUCCUUCGCGCAAUCUAUUUCACUUUCACUUUGCGCGACGGAUAUGUUGGUUCGUCGCGCAAUCUUCAAGAUUUUCAUUGAAAUUUUCACUAAGUGUUCAAAGGGGAUGGAGGUGUGAAAACUGGCGCCCAGAUUGCGCGACGAAGAGUACAUAUUUCCGUCGCACAAUCUAAUUCACUUUCACUUUGCGCGACGGUUAAAUUGUUCGUCGCGCAAAAUGUAGACCCUAAACCCCCUUGUAAACCCUAAACCCUGAACCCUAAGCCAUAAACCCUAAACCCUAAAAUAGUUUCAAUGAUCCAACCGGCAAACUUAUUGUUUGAAACUUGGAGAUCAUAUACGCCAAAAAUCAAGAAGACCAAACAUUCAGAUAUCAGGGAACGGGACUAAAUAUUUCGACGGUUAUAAAUGAAAAGUCAUGAUUUAACGGUUAUUGUAACUCCGAUUUUGAUCAAUUUUGACAGCAGCAUUUGUUGACCCUAUAUGAAUACAAUGACUGAAUUUGAUCUUCAAUUUCAGAUUUUUACACUAGGGGAUACCACAUAAACGUGAAGUUACAUUUGCACAAAUGUAUAAACAAAUUUUAGGGUUUUUGGUGAAUAUAUGAUUUUGAUAGCACAUGCAGUCUACGAAACAAGUUUCAGUCAUCCAGCCGUCAAACUUGUUUUUUUAGACUUCGAGAUCAUAGACAGCAAAAAUCGGACAAAAAAAACAUUCAGAGAUUAAGCAACGGGGUAAAACUUUUCGACGGUUCUAAAUAAAAAGUGAUGAUUGAACGGUUAAUUUAACUCCGAUGUUGAUGAUUUUUUGCAGCUACAGUCCUACACUCCAUAUGAAUACAAUGAACUACUUCGAUCGCCAAUUUUAAAUAUAUAUGUGUGUAUAUAUUAUACUAUAACGUUACCUAAUAUAUAUUUGCGCGACGAAAGUUUGCUUAUCGUCGCGCAAAAAUGCCAUACGCGACGCAUGUAUAUAUGCGUCGCGGAAACUAUGCGCGACCAGUUGUAUUCGUUGCGCAAACAUUACGCGACGCUUAUGUAUGCGUCGCGUAUGGUAUGUUUGCGCGACGAUAUGGAGCCCUUCGUCGCGCAUGGAUUUGGCGCCAUAAAUCCUCAUUGAUUUCAAAUUGUGUAUGCUUUGUAUUUUUUAGAAAGGUUUUGUAUUCAUCAUUUUUUAUGCUUUGUAUUUUGUGGAAAGGCUUUGAAAUAUUCAUUUCUUUUGUUAUUUUUAUUGAAGCUUUAACUUGUUCUGUUCCGCAGAAAAUUCCAAUGAAGUUUGUGAUGAAAUAUGGAGAAUGAAUACACAACUACAUAUGGACAACUACACAUAUUCAAAGAUUUGUAUUACACAAAAUUAAUACACUAACAUAAUAAAUUUACAAAUAAAUUCAUUAUUCAUCAUCUGAACUAUAAUAACUUUCGUUAUCGUCGCUAGCUUUAACUUGUUCUGUUCCGCAGAAAAUUCCAAUGAAGUUUGUGAUGAAAUCUGGAGAAUGAAUACACAACUACAUAUAGACAACUACACAUAUUCAAAGAUUUGUAUUACACAAAAUUAAUACACUACAUAAUAAAUUACAAAUAAAUUCAUUAUUCAUCAUCUGAACUAUAAUAACUUUCGUAUCGUCGCUAUCAUCACUCUCGGUCUCCCAAUCUUCUUCCUCCUCCUCCUCUAUAACUGCAUCAUCGGCGUUGCUAGGGCCCACUGCAACAUCGUAUCGGGGAAGAUCACCGAGGUCAAUUGUAAUUGACUGAAUCGGUAUUUCGACUGAAGACACUCCUUCUAUUUGAAACGGUUCUUGUAUAACAUUUGUAUCUCGAAGUGUUUCCGCAUCAUUUUCCAUUGAAGAUUCUAAACGAUGGUCAGCCACAUUGUCGACGUCGUUGUCACUUGGGUCUAGUUCUGGUAUAUUAUACACGUUCCUAUGAUCCAUCUUCUGCACAACUUUCCACCCGUUCCCGGCUUUAGGGUCAUCUAGAUACACAAUUUGGGACGCCAUGUUUGCCAAAAUGUACGGGUCGUCAUCAUACCAAGUUCUGUUAAUAUUCACAGACAGUACUCCAUGGUCGAUUUUAACACUUCCCGCCCUAUUUGGGUUGGUAUCGAACCAUCGACACUUAAACAUGAUGACUUGGUAUCGAUCUUUGUAAAGCAAUUGCACGACAGUUGUCAGUUUGCCAUAGAAAUCAAUGUCUGUACUUUCGCCUCCACCUGGGACAUGAACACCGCUAUUUUGCGUACACAACUUGUCAUCUCGUGCGGCCCCUAAAAAUUUGACGCCGUUAACAUUACAACCCGAGAACAAUUCAGCGCGAAUUGGGCCGAACGCCAAGUUAUAUAACUCAUCACUGUAAGUGGGGGAAUUCGAUGAUUUCAAUUUAUUCACCUAAUAGUAUACAAAACCAUUUACAUGUUAGUCUGACAAAAUUAAAUACUAAAAUUUAUAUUUGUCAAUUACAAAACACUUAUAACUUACAGAAUCCAAAAACCAUUGUGGAAAUAAUUCACGGUGUUUCCGGGCAACCAAAUGUGAUGGAUGUUCUCGCUUCAUCAUCUGUUCAUGCUCAUCUAAGUAGGCCAUUAUCUCAUCACAAUUGUUCAGUACGAACCAAUGCGCUACCUCCAUGUCAUUUCUAGAAAACGACUCUCCUCGUCCAGGAUCUCCAAAUGGUCGUGCGCUUUGGGCAAAAACAGAAAGUUUUUCAUUUCUCAUACCUCCGUCAUUAUUGCGGUGAGGACGAUUGAAAACCGUCUCCACAUCUUUUAAAUACAUUCCACAGAAAGUAAGCGACUCAUAUUGAACCCAAGCCUCUAUAAUUGAUCCUUCGGGCUUUGCCCUGUUGCGUACACUUUUUUUCAGCUCUCCGAGAAGCCUGCCAAAAUAAAACGAUAUGAUACAAAUUAGCAAAGUGUCGAUAAUGAUGCAUACACAAAUGAUAAAGAUUAUAUACCUUUCUAUUGGAUACAUCCAGCGAUAGUUGACAGGACCAGCAAGCAAUGCCUCUUCUGGCAAGUGAACCAUCACGUGCAUCAUACUUAUAAAGAAAGCUGGAGGAAAUAUCAUCUCAAACUUGCAUAGGACUUGGACAAUGUCAUGGCGCAACUGAAACAUGUCUGUCCUUCGCAAUGUUUUUGCCGUCAGUUGGGAAAAAAAUCUGGAUAACAACAUGAUUGGCUUCACCACAUCUUCCGGCAGUAAGUGUCGAAUACCCACAGGAAGUAGGCGUUGCAUGAACACAUGGCAGUCAUGGCUCUUAAGUCCAGUAAAUUUACCCCCAUCGACAUUCACGCAACGUGCGAUAUUAGAAGCAUACCCAUCGGGAAAUUUGACAGACGAUACAAACUUUAGAAACUCCUUUUUGUCAUUCGGUUUCAUAGAAAAGAAUGCAAGAUCCCUUCUAGCUUUAUCACUGUCCCUAUUCAUCCAUAAACCCCUUCGUAUGCCCAUUCUUUCCAAAUCAAGACGAGCUUUGAUCGUGUCCUUCGUCUUCCCCUCGAUAUCUAGAAUCGUGCCCACCAAUGUGUCGAAAACAUUUUUCUCAACAUGCAUCACAUCUAGAUUGUGCCUCAAUUUCAGUUUCGACCAAUAUGGGCGCUCAAAAAACAUAGACUUGUGCGUCCAGUUCAAAUGUGUAGAAGGUCGGGUCCGACUAACUGUUUUCCCGAACGGAGCAAAAUCCAAACGGUUCAGCUGUUCCAAGAUCUCAUCACCGGACCAUUCUCUAGGUCUGAGGCGACGCUCUGUGUUCCCGUCGAACUCUUUAUCUUUUUCUCGCCACUCGUGGUCCCAUGGCAACCAUCUCCGAUGACCAAGGUAACAAACUUUUCCCGCGUGCCAACCAGAAGUUACAUCUUCCUUGCAUACAGGACAUGCCAUAUAACCCUUUGUGCUCCACCCAGAAACCAUUGCAUAUGCUGGAAAAUCAUUCACAGUCCACAUAACUGCUGCUCGCAAAGUGAACAUCCUCCCAGUUGAUUUAUCGUACGUGCGAACACCGUUUGUCCAUAAAUCCUUCAGCUCAUCAACCAGAGGCCUUAAGUACACAUCAAUUGACCUGCCAGGAUCCUCAGUUAUCAAAACAGUCAUCAUCAUGUAUUCUUUUUUCAUGCAUUUCCAAGGCGGCAAAUUAUAUGGGAAUGCGAAAAUCGGCCAAGUGCUGUGGUGUUGGUUUAGAACCCCAUACGGAUUGAAUCCGUCAGUGGCAAGUCCCAAUCUAACAUUUCGGGGAUCAGCAGCAAAUUCGGGGAACGUUCGAUCGAACUCUUUCCAUGCCUCCCCAUCUGCAGGAUGCCGCAUCACAUCAUCGUCUACCCGUUUUUCCUUAUGCCAUCUCAUGUCUGUGGCAGUAUGCGUUGACAUAUACAAUCGCUGCAACCUAGGUUUAAGGGGCAGAUAACGCAUGACUUUUUGUGGUAUCUUAGUCGUUCUAUUCUGGGAUGUCAGUUUGAACCUCGACUCAUUGCAUAUAGGGCAUGUAUCCAACGUUUCAUGCUCUUUGUAGAAUAACAUGCAAUUGUUUUUGCAAGCGUGGAUUUUUUCAUAACCCAAUCCAAGACCGUGCAACACCUUCUGUGCAUGUUUAUGGUCUUUCGGCAAACAAUUGUCCGUCGGAAGCAUUCUCUUGAAAACCCCCAAAAAGUAAUCAAAACACAAGUUCGACAUACGAUACUUUAUUUUUCCGUGCAUUAGCUCCACAAUGGCAGUGAGAACGGAAAACCUCUCGCACCCCGGGUAUAACUCUUGGUUGGCAUUUUUUAACAGUUUUUCAUACUGUUCAAACUCCGCACUGUCUAUUGGUGUAGGCACGUCAUCUUCCCCUUCCUGAUUGAUGUUGGUCGAUGCGAAUGGAAAAGCAUCCUGUAUAAUACCCAUGACUUGAUCAUUAGGAUCCACAAUAGGUUCAACAUUGUCCACUCUCGGGGCAUUUGAAGACGAAGCAUGGUCUACUUGUUCGCCGUGAAGGUUCCAAAUGCUAUAUGUUUCAAUCAUUCCAUUCCUUACUAAAUGAAAUCCAACAUUUUCAAUUGUCUCCCACAACGUGUUGUUACACCUCCUACAAGGACAACGGAUUCUAGUUGCACCCGGGUUGUGUCUACGUGCAAACUCAAUAAAAUCCUCGAUUCCAUCCAAGUAUUCGUCUGCGCAUCUAUUCGGGUUCUGUAUCCACCUUCUGCUCAUAAUUCCUGAAACCACAAUCACGACACAACAAUCACAACAACUUCAUACGAAGUUAUAAUGUCACCUUAUGCCUCCGGUAAGGGCCCUAUCCCAUUCGGGAAUGCAUAGUCCUGUCACGUAACCUACGGCUACAUGAGAUUAGAUUUCGACGUGGAUUAAUUUCAGCAGCAUCUCGACACAGUUCUUGAAGUGGGCAUAGGUAUAAAUACCUACGUACCACCCGAAGAACGUACCGAGAUGACACCGAAAUCUCCACAAUCGAAACCUAAUCCUGUAGCCGAAGAUUAUGUGACAACACUAUGCAUUACCAAACUGUCCAAAUAAUGGGACAAUUCAAGAAUUAAUUGGACCGCAGUCAUGCAUUACGCAUCCAUGCACGAAAUUCAACUAAUCUCGAACGGGAAACUACGUGUUACUAAACAUAAAAAUAAAAGUACGAAGUUAAUUUCAAUUAACUUCGUACAUCACAACACAUUGUGCUAUGUCACGCACAAUUUCACAACAUUAUACACAUAUAACUUCACAAAAAAAUUACAAACAUAACAAACAAACUUUUACAAUAACAUACCUUCUCAAUCGUUCUCCACCAAUCACAAAUAUCCCUAACGAUAACAAAAUUAAUAGCGUUACUACGAAUUUACAUUAAUACAUUUAAACUAACGACAAAAAAUACAUACCCAAUGAACGUACUGAAUUCACAGUAGAGCAACGGCAGAGAGAGUGAGAGAGAGGUAGAAUGCAGUGGGAGAGUGAGAGAGAGGCAGAAUGCAGAAACUGCAUUCUGCCUCUGCAAUGGAACUGGCUAAAAUGAAGAAGAAGGACUUUGCGCGACUAACAAUCCAAUCCGUCGCGCAAAAUGCCGUCGCGAAAACCCACUUUUCCGUCGCACAAAAAAACAUUUCCGUCGCGCAAUUACCUGCCGACAUCAGGUUUUUUGCGCGACGAAUACAAUUAUCCGUCGCACAAACAUCCGUCGCGCAAAUAACAUUAUUCGUCGCGCAAGGUUUAUAUUACGUCGCGCAAAUAACACUUAUUUCGUCGCGCAAGAAAUUACACUUUACGCGACGAAGGUAAUUCCGUCGCGCAAAAAAGUUUUUUCCACCCUGCAUUUUGCCGCCAAAAUUAAGUAACCCUCGUUUUCUUACGCGACGGUACAUAUUUCCGUCGCGCUAAGGCGUCUUUUGCGACGAAAAUGUUCGUCGCGCAAGAUUCUGGCGCCAAAAACAUAAACUGGGGAUUUUUCCCCGACCUUUGCUCGACGAAAUUAGUUUUGGUCGCGCAUAGAUUGUUUGCGCAACGAAGAUUGUUCGUCGCGCUAGUGUUCUGCUGUUUGCGCUACGGUAUUUUUUUUUCGUCGCAAUAGUGAUUUUUGCGCGACGAAAAUAUAUUCGUCGCGCAAACGUCCGUCGCGCAAAUAGUAAAUCGUAGUAGUGUGAUUUGGUUUAGACUUGGUUUAAUUAUCAUUGUUGUGGUUGGUUCACCAAAAAGAUUUGGCUUAGAAUUACCAGUUUUGUUGUUGGUUUAGUUAUGCUUGGCAUUUGAGGAUCCUAUGCUUACUUGUAUGGGUAAUACAUUUUAUUGAUCGUUUCAUAUACUAAUUAUGAACUUUUAGUUCCAUUGUGCAUUUAAGAGUACACAUAUUUCAUAUGUAAUUCGAAAGUUUGUCGCUGAAAUUUCUGAGAAUUUGAAACUAGAUAAGCACACCUUGCACAAAGUUCAUAUAUUUUCUUCCAGCAAGUCUGUCUAUUAACCCCCCUUAUCUGAAAUUAAUUGUUAAAAGUUCUGAUUCAUCUUUAAUCAUUGUCUUACCCUUGUUGAAUAACACUCCUCAUUCUAAUUUAUAUUCGAAGUUUGAGGUUUCAAUUUCAAUUGUGGGCUUUGAUUUUACAGAUUUUGUUUGUCAAUUUCAAUUUGGACAAAGCAUAUGCAAACAAAGUAAGGCAUUAUCUAUUAUUUGGAUCAUUUCCAUAUGUUUAUAUGUUUUUAAUAUCAUUUGCCUAUGUAGUUGACAUGUUAUAACAUUUUCGUAGUGUUGAAUAUAUAUAUAUAAUAAUUUUAUUUUAGUGGAUGUGAGAUCUCAGUUUGUUGCUUUAUAUAAUUAUUUCUUUGCAAUUUAAUUUUUUUUAUCAGUCAUACUAUUGUUGACGGCUAAAAACCAUCAAGAAACAACUCUUAAGUUUUUUAAAAAAUAAAUAAAUAAAUAAAGAUUUGUUGAUGCUUAAAAAGCAUCAAGAAAAGAUAGUUUCUUGACGGUUUUGUGACGUUUCAUAACCGUCAUGAAACAUUACAUUUUGACGAACGUCUUUCUGAUAGUGGCAUCCGUGACGCUUUCCGAGCCAUCAAUUAAGGGCUAUCGUGAUGCUUUUUAGUUGUCAGCAAAAGGUGUUUUUCUUGUACUGUAUUCACUCAAAAUCGUUUUUCAUUUAGGGUUGCUAGUGUGGUUGAAUGCCAUUUGUUUUGUUAAUGAAUAUUAUACAUUAUGGAUUUUUGUAGAAAUGUCGCUUGAAAUUAUACCUCAGUUUCAAUUUGUCACCUUAAAGAAAAAUUUAAGAGAAAUGUCACCUUAAUUUUUCAAAAUCCACGAUUUGUCAUCUCACUUUAACAUCAUCCAAUUUUCCAUCUAUUUUAAGGGUAUUUUAGUCUUUUCAUUUUCAAGGGAAAAAAAGAGAGGAAGAAAAAGACCUCUCUCUUACUUUCUCCCCCAACCCAACCCCACCCGCCCCCCAAAACACAUCGCAUAGGACCGCCUCCCCCUUCCCCACAUUUCUUUUUUCUUUUUGGCCUACUUUUCCACUAUGUUUAUGUUGAAGGAUCUAAAGUUUUCUUGGUCACCAUCUAUUACGUAGGCUACCGACUUGUUGGUUUGGGUGGGUUGAGGGAAUUUGUGUGUGGAGGGCAGGUGUUCAUGUUGUGUGCACCAAGACCUUAUCGUUGAUGAACUAUGUGACGGCACACACACAAACUCGUUGAGAAUAAAACAAACAUACCACCAAGAGAGUAAAACAAACACACAAGGACACAAAGAUUUAUAGAGGUUCGGCCUCCUGCCUACGUCUUUUUGGUGAUUCACUCGAGAAAUUCACUAGUAUGUAAAAAUAACUUUGGUUACAACUGAACCCCCUUAGCCCUCACAAGAACCUUAGAUCUCUUUUCUCUCACCCUUGCUCAAACCCUUUGAUGCCCUUGUAGACACUCAAGAAUUCACCCUUGAAUUCUAUCUUGUGUUACAUCUUCUCUUCUCCCUUUUGUUAACCUAACCCUAAAAGUCCUAUUUAUAAUGCAUAGGACUUAAGUUACAAGUUAACUUGGAAUAGGAAACAUAAAAUACCCCAAAAAUUGGAGAAAAUCUGUCCAAAUCUAGCCUGCAAAAUCAUCCUUCUGCCGCUCGAGCUGCCGGUGGCGCUCAUGGGAUGGGGGAAUUGGAGAUUUUCUUUUCAAUUUUAAUUGUUUAAAAGAUAUACAAUUUUUUAUUAUAAUAAUUUUUCCAUUUUUAAAAUACACUUGAAAAUAGAAAGCUUAAAAUGCCCUUAAAAAUAGAUGGAAAAUUGGAUGGUGUUAAAGUCAGAUGACAAAUCAUGGAUUUUGAAAAAUUAAGGUGACAUUUCUCUGAAAUUUUUCUUUUAAAAGUGACAAAUUGAAACUGAGGUAUAAGUUCAGGCGACAUUUCUACAAAAAUCCCUAUACAUUACAAUAUUAUAACAAUAAAAUUGGCUAAAAUUGAUAUGUUCCCUCUUUUCUUUUCUUUUUCUCUUUUCCUUUUCAUUUUAUGCUUUGUUGCUAUUGCUAUGUUUAUCCUACAAAUAUAGCAACUUCUCCACCAUUCAUUUGUUAGUGACUACGAUGCUUAGUAACUUCUUCAGCUCCCCUUAUUUCCAUGUACUAACCAGGGACACCAGGUCAGCAUCUUCGGUAAGAAUCCUAACUCAAUCAAACAAUGACAUCUGUAAAUAUUCAAAAUUGGAAUUUGCAUUGUGAUAGUUGAAAGCAUCCUUGUCCCAAAAAAAGCCAAAAAAUAAAAUAAAAUUGAGAGCAUUAAGUCCUUUUCAAAUUAUGCUAAUAUGCAAAAUUGGAAUUUUGAUGGAGUUGCUUCCUUGACUUUUCCACCUUUGUAUCCAGUCCACUUUGCACAAGGAGCCAAGUUUGAGAGAUAGUUUUCUGUAUUUACACCAUCCAGGAGAAAAUUAAAAAACUAUUUCAUGCCAAACUAACUACGGAUUCUUGCAAAGGACCCAUUAGUGUAGUGGUUUGGAGUAUUUACUCCCUCAGGCAAGGUCUUGGGUUCGAGUCCUAGCAUUCAUGUUGUGUGUGUGAGUUUAAUAUGCUAUCACCCCUUCCAAUAGGAAAGGACCUCAAAAAAAAAAAAAAAACUACAGAUUCUUUAAUUGAAAGAAACCCCAUAUUAAUCAUCCUUUGGCACAUAAAUGUUUGGUAAUUGGCAUUAAAGUAUCUAAAGGUUACGAAAUUAAAGAUUUUAAUGCAAACCUAAAAUUGGAAAAGAGGGCACCAAUUCAUGUAAAAUAUGGUGUACUUAGUAGAUCCAACAUAUUUUUUUAGCAACCAAGGACAAUCAUCAUUUUUUUUUUUAAGAACCAAGGAUAGCUUACAUUCUAGUUUGUCCAUCAUGUCAACACAUUUAUAAUUAAAACUUCUUUUUUGGUGAGGUUUCAAUUUUUGUCACUGUAACAAGACCACAAUUGCCAUUCAGUAUGCUAACAUUGUCACUAUGUUUGCCAAUUGCAUAUUAUCUAGAACAUAAAGGCUUUGGUGUUUUGUAUAUCCUCGGGGUGCCAAACCUGUCUUUAUAAAAAUGGUCCUUAUGAUACUACUUUAACAACAAAAAAAUAUAAUAAACUAGGCCUUUGUAGUCACUGAACGAAUGUUUUCUCAUAGAUAUGACUAUUUAAAUGUAAUUACGGGAUUAAAACAUUAUAAUAAAUUGGAGUGAACCAUAACAUUAUAUAUGAUCCAAUCCUUUUCAUAUAUUUUUGUUCAAGACUUUGUUUUAGAAUGCUCUUUUACUAAUUUGGUACAGGUCCCUAAAAUCUACGCCUUUAUGAGGCAACGUCUUUAUUUCUUUGGUUAUUCCAGUUUAGAAUAUAUUUGUACAAAUGAGAUGACUCCCAACAUAAAGUCACAUUCAACCAAAAAGCAUGAAGUCACACACAAAAAGAACACGGACAAUUGCUAAGUUUAUCUUGUAUCCUUAUUUUAUUGAUCCAACCCAAUUGAAAAAUAAAAAAGAUGAUAUAAUAUAUUGUUCACUGCUUACAUCCAUGAGUAAAGUCCUCCAUUUGAAAUUGCGUGAUUAUACAAAAUUGGAAUGAAAAAAGAAAAUCCUACAACUAAAUUUGAUAUAUUCCUUUUCAUUUUAUGUUGGAUGUUAAGUUUUCUUGUUUCUUGUUGAAAAGAAAAAUGAAAAGAAAUAAAUAAAUUACACAGCUAGCAACUUCUCCACCUUCCCUUCUUCCCAUGUACUGACAACAAGGGAGGCCUUCAAUCCAAAAUAAAGACAAGGGAUGCCAGGUCAGCAUCUCAGAUAAGUAUCCCAACCAAAACCAAUCAAAUAAUGACAUAUGUAUCUCUUUUUGUGUUUUGUUCUAUUUCUCUUUGAAUUAACUGCGAAGUUUCAUAAGCGUGUCCUCCUUUUGAAAUUGUGUAUUAUUCAAAAUUGGAAUUUGCUGGUCAUACUUGAUAUAAGCUAAAACAGUUUCCAACAUCUUGUACCAUUUUUUUCCAGUGUGGGUCAUAACUUGAAGAAGCCCACCGACAAUUUCUCAAAAGCUAUUACCAUCCAACUUUGAAAAAUAAAAGUUUCAAAAGUUACCCCAAACAACAGCCCUUGAAAGAGAGUUUUCCAAGGCUAAAGAUUACAAGGAUGUUAUUGGCACAUGCAUUAACGUGUGACAAGAAGUUAGUUAUAUUUAUAAAGUAAAAGAACGAAGUACAUAACAUGUAAGUUGAUGCCAAAUAUUUGAUCAACAGAGCUAAACAUAAAACCACGACAAUAUAACGUUGUUCACCAAAAAUUGUGUUUCGUUGAGGGUCAGUAGUGUAGGUUUCAAGAUACGAUUUAUUUUGUUAAAGAAUAUUCUGAUAUUCUAACAAUAAAAUUGGCUCAAUUUGAUAUGUUUCUUUUUUUUUUUGUUUUUGUUUUCCCUUUCAUUUUAUGCUUUGUUGUGCUAUUGCUAAGUUUAUCCUAGAGACCAGGGAUGCUUAGCAAGUUUCUUCACCUGCCCUUCUUCCCAUGUACUAACUAGGGAUACCAUGUCAGAAUCUUAGAUAAGAAUCCCAACCCAAUCAAACUAUGACAUCUGUAAGUAUUCAAAAUUGGAAUUUGCAUUGUGAUAGUUGAGUGGAAGAAUCGAUUAAGGCUUGAGUGGAAGACAAACUUCAGUGGAGGAAAGUAAUUAAUCUCACAAGACAUAGCCCAUCAGUUGGCUCAUUUUUCUUGAGUGUGUAGUCCUGGCCUUGAGGCGAGGCCACAUUGCUUUGGAGAUUUCUUUCUACUUGGUGAAAUUAUAAUUUAGAAGAAGCAAACUGCGUUUUGCAAUUUGUGCGAUUCAAGCAUAUCUGACACUAGUAAUUAGACCAUAAUCUUUGUCCGACCAGAAAAUAAGAAAAGUUGUCUUGUACCAUUUCUGCCAGUGUGGGUCCCACCCACCCCAUACGAGUAAUUUGAAGAAGUCCACCGACAAUUUCCCAAAAGCUUUGGCGUCCAACUUUGCCGACCCCAUCCCCAUGUGAGGCCAUAGAAAAGUUUUCAGCCACAAUCAAAGAAGGGAACAGUCCUUGAAAAGAGAGGGUUUUCCAAGGCCAAGAUUACAAGUUCAUGUUAUUUACAGUCUCAAAAAGCUUCCAUACUUGUUUACAAACCUGUAUUUUCAAGUUGUGCUAGCCUAGCUAUUUGCAAAUCUUGGAAUAUUUUACUUCAUCCAAAUCCCUUGCAGUCUGCAGAGAAGAUAAAAGACAUGGCUUUGAUUGGAGAGGCUCUUAUCUCUGCUUCCGUCCAGGUGUUGUGCGACAGAAUUACUUCACCCGAGUUCGUUGACUUAUUUUGGCACAAGAAACUCGAUGAGCCACUCCUCAGGAAGCUGAGGACGACACUGUUGGCCUUGAACUUGGUGCUCAAUGAUGCAGAGGGGAAGCAACUUGUGAACCGAGAUGUGAAAAAGUGGCUUGACGAGCUCAGACAUGCUGUCUUUGAUGCGGAGGACUUACUGGAUGAGAUUGACACUGAAGCUUUGCGAUGCAAGCUGGAAGAAGGUGAAGAUCAAACUCACAAAUUUACCAAUAAGGUGCGGAACUUGCUCUUUUCUCCUCGUAGUCAUUUUUAUCAGAGCAUGAAUGAUAAGAUAAAAGAGUUACUAGCAAGGUUAGAAAACUUUGUACAACUGAAAAGUGCUCUUGGUCUGGGAGAAGUUGCUGGGAGGAAGGUUUCGCAAAGAACUCAAACAACCUCCUUGGUUCUUGAACCUUAUGUAUAUGGUAGAGAUGAAGUCAAAGAAAAGUUAUCAAAAGUGUUGCUAUCUGAUGAAGCAGGCAAGGAUCCUGUGUCUUUCCUCACCAUUGUUGGAAUGGGUGGGGUUGGCAAGACAACCCUUGCUCGAAUGCUUUACAAUGACGAUAAGGUGAAAGGGCAUUUUAAACUUAAAGCUUGGGCUUGUGUUUCAGACUACGAUGAUUAUAUUAAAAUUACUAAAACUCUCCUUGAGGCAGUCACUUCAAAGCCUUGUAACACGGCAAAUCUGAAUUUGCUUCAAAAAGAUCUAAGAGAGCAAUUGAGGGGAAGGAAAUUUUUAUUUGUGUUGACCUAUGGAAUGAGAAUAAUGAGGAUUUGAACUACCUUAGAGCUCUUUUUAUUACUUUAGGAACAAUGGGAAGUAAAGUCAUUGUAACAACACGGAACAAAAAUGCAGCAUCUGUCAUGCAAAAUGUUCAUAUUCAAUACUUAGAACCAUUGUCGUAGGAGGACUGCUGGUUAUUACUUGCAAAACAUGCAUUUGGAAAUGAAAAGUGUAGUGCACAUUCAAACUUGGAAGACAUUGGAAAGCAAAUUGCACUCAAGUGCAAAGGGUUGCCUUUAGCUGCACAAACACUUGGGAGUUUGUUACGUUGCAAUAUGGAUUUCGAGUACUGGAAUAGAAUACUAAAUGAUAGUUUUUGGGACCAACCCUAUGAUAAAACUAACAUUCUUCCGGCUCUAGGGUUGAGUUACCAUUAUCUUCCUACUCAGUUGAAACGAUGCUUUGCUUAUUGUUCAAUUUUUCCAAAGGAUUAUGAGUUUGAAAAGGAAGAUAUAGUUCAAUUAUGGAUUGCAGAAGGUAUAAUUCCACAAGCUGAGAAUGGAAAAAGGAUGGAAGCAUUGGCUAGAAUAUACUUUGAUGAGCUGUUAUCACGAUCGUUGUUUCAAAAGUCAAGUAAAUUCAGCUUCAUUAUGCAUGAUCUCAUUAAUGACUUGGCUAUGUUCAUGUCUCAGGGGUUUUGCCUUAGGCUCGAAGAUGGGGUAUCCCGUGAAGUUAAAAGAGCUCGUCAUUUGUCAUAUGCUAGGGGAGAAUUUGAUGCUGCUCCAAGAUUUGAACCAUUAUAUGAGGCUAAAUGUUUGCGGACCUUCCUACCUACCAUUUGUUGUGGGCAAAUCUACUGGAUCAGGCAUAAGAGAACUGAGGCAGUUCCCGCAACUUCGAGGAAAACUAUCAAUUUUGAAGCUACAAAAUGUAGUUGAUGCGAGGGAUGCACUGCACGCCAAUAUGAAGCACAAGAAAGAUCUCAAGGAGUUAGAGCUUUCAUGGGGUGCGGAGGAUGCUGAUGAUUCCCAAAAGGAGAAAGAUGUACUCGACAAGCUCCAGCCUUGCGUGAAUUUGGAGAAAUUAACCAUCAAAUUCUAUGGUGGAACUAAUUUUCCGAAUUGGUUAGGAGACUCGUCUUUUUCUAACAUACAAGUCAUGCAUCUCAGUGACUGUAGUUAUUGUUGGUCGCUCCCACCAGUUGGACCGCUACCGGCACUCAAACAGCUCUGUAUAAGAAGAAUGAAGUUUGUGAAGACGAUUGGCGUUGAAUUCUAUGGCAGAAAUGGAGCUUAUCUGACUCAGCCAUUUCGAUCUCUGGAGAAGCUAGAGUUUAGGGAGAUGCCAGAGUGGGAGGAAUGGGUACCAAGUGGAAGUGCAAGUGGAGGUGAAUAUGGUCCAGACUUUCCUCGUCUCCAGGAGCUGAUUCUAUACGAGUGUCCGAAGCUAAGAGGAAGUUUGCCUUGUGAGUUGCCUUGCUUGAAGAAGCUUACGGUGUAUGGGUGUAAGGUUUUACAUGAUGGAAGGGCCAUUACCGCAACUACCAAUAGUCUUAACUAUAAAUCUCUGGAAGAAUUGAAUAUAAGUGGUGGAUGCCAAACUCUGUUAUCAUUAUUAGAGACAAAGCUCCUGUCCGGACUUGAGAUUCGAAAUGUUGUUGACAUACAGUGCUUGCCCAACUGCAGUCGUCUUCAACAUUUGACUCUUUCGAAUUGUCCAACGCUGUCAUCAUUUCCCAAAGAUGGCCUACCCACUACAUUGACAUCACUUUAUAUAAACAAUUGUAGGAAAUUAGAAUUCCUACCUCAUGAGAUGUUGGCCAAAUUAACAUCGCUUGACUAUUUGUGCAUACAAAAUAGCUGUGAUUCAAUGAGGUCCUUCCCGUUGGGCAUUUUUCCCAAAUUGACGAGGCUUGAAAUUCGUGGUUGUGAGAAUCUGGAAUCCCUUUCCUUGAUUGAAGAAGAAGGAGCUGUUGAGAAUCUCAGCCAUCUCAAUUACUUGCAAGUCUAUAACUGUCCAAAAAUGGUGUGUUUUCACGAGGGAGAAUUGCCCACUCCCAACCUGAGUCACUUUGUAGUCGGUGGUUGCGAGAAUUUGAAGUCAUUGCCCAAAAGCCUUCACACCCUCACUGCCCUUCGAUCUUUGUCGAUAUGUAAUCUUCCGAAUCUGGAGUCAUUUGCAGAAGAUGGGGGUUUGCCUCCCAACCUCCGACAAGUAAGUAUUAGGAAUUGUGAGAGACUGAGGGCUUCAUCAGUGGGUUUGCAAGCACUUGACUCCCUUGAGAUCAGUGGAAGUGACCAUGUAUUCUCUAUCACACUCUUCACAUCUAUUCUCUAUCAACUCUGAAAUCUUUGGACGGAAAGGGUCUUGGACACCUCACUUCUCUUCAAGAGCUAGAUAUUAACAGGUGUCCAAGUCUGGAAUUCCUGCCAGGAGAGGAACUUCAACACCUCACUUCUCUUCAAAAUCUAUACAUUUGGAACUGUCCCAGUCUUCAAUGCUUGCCAGAAGAGGGUUUUCCAUCAUCUCUUUCUCAUCUGAGUAUCCGCCGGUGUCCUACCCUGGAGGAAAGGUAUAAGAAUAAAACGGGACGAGAUUGGGCCAAGAUAUCUCACAUUCCUUGCAUCGAGAUAGGCAACGAAGUGAUCAUAUAAUAUGAGCUAUUCCAUAUUUCACGCUCAACCCUCAACUCUCAAAUCAAAGUCAGGUGAGGUAUGUGCCUUCUCUUACUUUAAAAAACUGCUGCUCAAUAACACUCUUCGCACUCUAUAUAUUAUGGCCUGUCAGUCUAAAAUUCCUGCCAGGAGAGGAACUUGAACGCCUCUCUUCACUGCAAAGGCUACAUAUUUGUGGGUGUGACAAUAUCCAAUUCCUGCCAGAAGAGCGUUUGCUGCAAUCUCUUUCUUAUCUGUGCAUCGACCAUUGUUUUGCCAUGUAGAAAAGGUAUCUCACAUUCCUUGCGUCAAGAUAGGUGAAGAAGUGAUCAUAAGAUAUGAGCUCUCUCUCCCUCUCGCUCACAUACAAAGUACUUAAAACACUCAAUCUGAUUUCUAUUAUUAUUUUGCUCAGUAAAUUUUGUUUAAAUUUGCUUUGUUUCUCAUUGCGCUUGUUCUGCUUAUCACAACUUAUAUCCUAUUUAAAUCUCAAAUGCUGAAUAGUUAGCAGUCUUUUCGCAGGACAGCAUAUCUUCUCUUGGAGAGCUAUUCAUUUGCAAGGUUUCUUUAUGUGUCAUUUCCAGAGGAGGGUUUACUAUUUAAUAGAAAGGUUCACCUGGAAUAUCUCAAAUGACACAUUCCCAAAUACAGGCAUUGAAUGCACAACAUUUUGAGGUACUAUUUUUGUAAUAAAAAUGUACUUGAGUCUCAUUUGAGCUAGUUUAAAUUGUAUUCAAUGUCUAUGGAUAACCUGUGAGCUUAAGUUGUAAGAUAAAACUCACAGUAUAUUAUUAGGGUUUAGGGUUCAACAGGUGAGCUUAAGUUGUACUUUCCUAGGUACUGCAUGUAUAUUAUCUUAGUAUCAACACUUGGUCUUAUGUGGACGAGAGAGAACAUUUGAGGAAUUACAAAAUCUUCUUAGUGAAUUAAGCUUGUUUCAGCUCUGUUUGUCAUCCCUCACAUUUUCUUUGUUAAGCCUUGAUUUUUUAUUAGACAUACGAAAAAAUGCUUUUAUAAGACAGGAGAUGAAUGCUUUUAUAUGUUGAUGUCGUAGUCAGUCUUCAACCACACUCUGUUUUUAGAAUUCAUUUAUGUUACUAGUUGAGAGCUGCUGUAUUUUAUAUUUCGUUCCUGUAAUGUUUGGAUGUUUAGCUUGAGCAGUCUAGCUUAUCCAGUAGAUAACUUGUCCCCUGUUUUGUAAUGUUUUUGUUUCCUCUAAUGAAAGCAGGUUUUACUUAUCUUGAACUGCAGAAGCCUACUUUUUGACAUAGGUGGCAUGGCACAAACUCGCAUCCGCAUUUCCAUCCCCAUUGGCAUGCUGUCUCAUCUUUUCUAUUCUGUUACCAGCUUGAAGCUUGUGUGGACAUGUUAUGCUCUUGUAAUUCUGAUCACAAACAUCACUUGACAAAUGGAAAGUCACAAUCAGAUCUUUCAGGUGAUCUGGAGGUUUACUUUCUAACAUUUGUUUUCGUGGGGGGGAGACAACAAUACAGAAUUUAAAAUUUCUGAUAAUCAAUAGUAGUUUGCAUAUAUCAGCUGGGACCUGUAUGACUGUAUUAUGUAAUUAAUUAUUUCUCUUAUUGUUUGGGUACUGUUAAAAGGAGUUAGCCACACAACAUAAAAAAGGAGGUCUCUUAUUUCAUACAAUUUUUCAAAUGUGAUCAUUAAUCCGUUUCUUUUUCAACAAUAGAGGAAUGUAUACUAAUCGUCUGGUCCAUCUGCUGCUUCACUCCCUAGUAGCUUCAUCUCCUGUCCUUUGCUUUAUUUCUGUUGAUGAAUGUUUUGUCUGGGUUAUUUAUUUUCAUUUCAUGUCCAUUGCUUUAUUUCUGUUUGGAUUCUUAAUUAAAUCUGUCCUGGACUUGAACAAGGGUUAGGUUAGCUGUAUAAUUUGCGGUUUUAUAUACACAACUGUCUACAUUGAUUAAAACCAGCAUUAUUCUAAGGUUCAUUUAGAAUGUAUUAUCACCAAAAUUAUAAAGAAUACUUCUAUUACAAUUAAUUUGUUGAUUCUAAUUUGGACUUGUAGGAACAGACCAAACAUGUUCAUGCGUGGCAUUGCUCAAGUCAUCAUCAUUCGAGACAGAGAAUAAGCCUUCAAGUGUCUGCUGAGUCAAUGAACCUUUCUAGAUAUCUCAAGUGUAAUGGAAAUUGAUGAGUUACAAAGGAUUUGUAAACAUUUUCUACUGGAGGCUAGAAAUGCUUCAAAUAAAUGACCGUGUUGCAAUUAUUUUGUAGGAUCAAAGACUCUGCAAAGAGGUAAGAAAGUCAUCAUCAAGUAACUUUGCUCUUCAAACUUUUUAUUUUUAUUUUUAAAUAUCAGUAAUAACUGGGAAAGCUUGCAUCUCCUUAAAUUGCUCAUUCUUACAUCUUUUAUAGUUUGUUGAUCUUGGGCAAGUGGAGAGAGAGGCGUCAAGUGAUACGCAACAACCAUUUUCUGUGAGCUGAUUUGAUAAAGAGAAAUGGUAUGCUUUCUUGUCUUAAGCGGUGUGUUCUGCAAUUAUUUGAAACAAAGGAUGCCGCACUUCAAGUUCGAGAAAAUCAGGUAUUUUAGUAUUUUAUUCUUGAGAAAUUUGAUUUAUGUAGAAACUUGAACAUGUAAAUAAAAUAAAUAAAAUAUAUUAUAUGCUGUUAAUGAGUUAAUAUGGUGCUUGCUUCUAGUUGGAAAUUUAUGUAGUCAUCUACCUAUGAUCAAAUAAAGAUGAAGAAUAAAAUAUAAUUGAGAGCAUCUUCCUCUCCCCUGCUUUGCUCAUCCCUUGUUCUUCCACUUCAGCCCCACUAUUACACCAUUUUUUCAGCCACAAUUAUAAUAGCUCCAUGAGCAUUAAGUCCUUUUCAAAUUCUGCUGACAUUCAAAAUUGGAAUUUGCUGGUGAUAUAUGAUAGCAUCUUUGUCCGACCAAAAAGAGAAAAAAAAAAAGUUGAUAGCAUAUUGUACCAUUUUGGCCAGUGUACGCAAUAUUAUUGCAUCCAACUUUGCAUAUUAACAUCAGUGGCCACAGUUCCAUGAUUUGAGUGCACAGAAAAGUUUCAAAAGUUGUCCCACAAAGAACAGUCGUUCAAAGUGAAAGAGAGAUUUCAAAGCUUAAUUACAAGUUCAUGUUAUUUACAAUAUCAAAAAGCUUUCAUACUUGCUUACAAACCUGUAUUUCCAAGUUCUGCAAACCUUGGAAUAUCACUUCAUCCAAAUCCCCUUCCAAAGCAGGAAAAAAUGGCAGCAGCUUUGAUUGGAGAGGCUCUCAUCUCUGCUUCUAUCGUGGUGUUGUGUGACAGAGUUACUUCAGCCGAGUUCAUAGACUUAUUUCAGCAGAAGAAACUUGAUGAAACACUCCUCAUGAACCUGAAGACGACACUGUUGAUUUUGUUUGCGGUGCUCAAUGAUUCAGAGGAGAAGCAAAUUGUGAACCCUGAAGCUUUGCGAUGCAAGCUGGAAGGUGAGGAUCAAACCCACAAUAAUUAACCAAAAAGGAUCUUUUUGAUUGUUUGAAAGGAGGGUCUUGAUGAUUUGAAAGGAGAGGGUUGCUUUAUUUCUGUUGGAUGCUUAAUUAAAUCUUAUUUGGAGUUGAACAAGGAUUAGGUUAGCUGUAUAAUUAGUGGUAAACGCCUUUUUCUAAGGGUCAUUUAGACUCCUAUUACGAUUAAUUUGUUGUUUCUAAUUUGGACUUGUAGGAACAGACCAAAUAUGUUCACACGUGGCAUCGCUCAAGUCAUCAUCAUUUCAGACUGAAAAUCAGCCUUCGAGUGUCUGUUGAGUCAAUAAACCUUUCUAGAUAUAUCAAGUGCAAUGGAAAUUCAUGAGUUACAUAGAGAUUUUUAAACAUUUUGAAGAUUGCAACACCUGCAAGUGAGAUAGGCGGUGACGAAAUCAGAGCUGAUUUUGAAGCCUCUGAUGCCCCUGUUGUUGCAAGUUGCACCUGAGAACAAGUUUUUUUUUUCUUUGGGGUAAAAAACUGGCAACAUGUUCGGAGCUGACAAUUCAAUCCCUGAUGAACUAGAGAAGCAAAGCUCCGGUAAGGAAAUUGGUCAAGGUUGUGACAGGGAUGAUUGAUGGUGAAAUGGAUGCUAUUUCUUAUUGCAGCCUGUUCUCAAAGUUCUUGUUGGCAAAUGCAAUUGAUGGAGUAUUUUGAUUGGGAGGAGAGAUAAUGACAUGGCUUGACAAUUCUAGAACAGCCCAUCAUUAAUCCCAGAAAAAAUCCCGUUUCUGCUAAACAAUCACUUAUGGCAAGGCCAACUCUGUAAAUGGAAUUUGUGAUCCCUUCAAAUUGUACACAUUUUUUCUUUUUGAGGAAUUUAAUCAAACAGUAUUCUAAUGCAUUAUGAUAGCACUACACGCUUUUGUUGUAACAAAUUACAAGGAGGAAUUUGGAUUGAGUUUCUUGUAUAAGCACACCUUACACAAAUUUCGUAUAUUUUCUUCCAGCAAGUCUGUUUAUUAACCCCCUUAUCUGAAAUUAAUUGUUAAAAGUUUUGAUUCAUCUUUAAUCAGUGUCUUACCCUUGUUGAAUAACACUCCUCUUUCUAAUUUAUAUUUGAAGUUUGAGCUUUCAAUUUCAAUUGUGGGCUUUGAUUUUUCAGAUUUUGUUUGUCAAUUUCAGUUUGGACAAAGCAUAUAUGCAAACAAAGUAAGCAUUUUAUGUUAUACUUUUGAACUAGGUGUUGAUUUGAUUUAAUCAUAAGUUUUGCUGGUGCAUUUACUAGGCUAAUCAUUCAAUACUUUUGAUCAUAGAACUUCUUUGGUUGAUAUUAUCUUUGUUAAGUUUAACCAUAACUUUAGAGAGGGGACUUCAACAGAUUUAUAAUCUCAUCAUUAUAGUAUUAAAAAUUAGAGAUUAUUUAAGGCAUUGUCUAUUAUCUGAAUUCUGCUUACUUUUAGUUCAUAUGUUUACAUCUUAGCAUAUUCAUGUGAUUAGUGCGGCUCAUACCACAAAGGCAAUUUUAGGCUCAUCAAGUGCUAAGCAAUGUCAAGCUUCCAAAUGACAAGUUCUCUACAUAGUUUGAGACCUACACUUACUAGAUAUUAGAUCAUUUCGAUCAUUUCCAUAUGUUUAUAUGUAAUUGACAUGUUAUAACAUUUUUGUAGCGUUAUAUAAUUAUUUAGCAAUUUAAUUAUUUCUUUGCAACUUAAUUUUUUUUGUCAAUCAUACUAUUGUUGACUGCUAAAAACCAUCAAGAAAUAGUUCUCAAGUUAUAAAAAAAAAAAAAUUUUAAAAAAGAUUUGUUGAUGCUUAAAAAGCAUCAAGAACAGAUAGUUUCUUGACGGUUUUGUGACAUUUCAUAACUGUAGGGGGCUUUUUCUUCCGACAGCUGUAAAUGGGCUGGGCUGCCGUAAAGGGCAGACUGAUGAAAUUGUCCCCUUUUGUAUGAGCUCAAAAAUUAAGCCCCAAAAUACUUUGAAAGGGCAGCAGAGCCUUAGGAAGUAUUUUGGUUACCCUCACCAACUAAAACAACAACAACUUACAGGUAAUUACUUAAUGCUUAUGGAUGAACUCUUGAGCUUGGCAUGAGAGACAUAUGGCAUGGAAGCAAAAUCAACAUGAGUUUAGCACUGAGGGGAAAUUUAGGCUCUCUUGGGGGAAAAAGGGAAGUGUUAAGGUGAGAGAGGAGAAGUUUGUAGGAGAUUUAGCUAAGAAAGGAGAAAUAUAGAACAAUGCUCUUUUGGCAGCUUGACAGAUGCUCUGUUUGCCAGAAAAGGAAGAUGGAGAAGAAAUGUGAAUAGUGCAAGAGUUUGCUAGAUUUUUGCAGGUAAGAGAGGAAGCUUGCUCUCUGGGUCUGAGUUGAGUUUUUUUGUGUGGAAGAGACCUCAUUUUAUAGCCCUUGGAAACCAUCACUUCCCAAGAAACCCUAAUGGCUUCUACCCAUUUUGGCCAAGCUUUUCCCUUCCUUUCUCAUUUCCUUCCUUGACUUUACCCCUCUUGAUGAAAUCCCCUCUGCCUAUUUGCACCAUAUCAGAGUUUUUUGAAGCUCAAGGCCCCUUUUUCCCGCAGUUGUCUCAAUGGGAGACUUCCAUUCCCAGUCAUCUCCUUUAUUGCUUUCCUUUCUUUUUUUCAUGGCCAAGUUUGGUGGGGAAAGGAGUUGGGAUAUAUAUGCUGGUUUGAAGGGUGCUUCUCUUCCUGGCAUCUUACACACUAAUACCCCUUGGUUCCUUGAAUGUUUUGGCUUUGAAACUUGCUCUCCCCCCCCCCCCCCCCCCCCCCAUGUACUGGAACCUACCAGCAGCUCUAUUCAAUGAAUCUUCAGACCUUCUCUUCGUGGCUUUUAUUUUUUAUCAACGGGCUGGGGCUUUUGUGGCUCAUUGUGGCAAUUGUAUGGGCUAAGGUGGUUCAUUAAGUAAGUGGGCUAUUUUUAUUAAACAUUAGGCUUUUUGGUUGAGUCACUAGGCUAUUUUGAUUGGGCUAUUGGGCUAUUUUUUUCCUCUCUUGUGCUCACCCACAUGUUUGGACCAAAGAAAUGAGCUUGAGUCCUGAGGCUCCCAAGCGACCCGAGACUUUCCAUUUCUGGCCCAUCAAUGGGCCUCAUGUUGAUUUAUUACCAUCCAUACCACAACCCACUCAAGCAGGCUCCGGGCAUUUGAAUGACUUGGGCGCACUUAGGCUUGUAGUGUGGUUGGGUGCGAAAUAACGAUUUCGUGCUUGGCAUGUUUUAAUUUUAUCAUCCUUGGGAAAGGCUGCGAUGUUUGAUUUCGGCAUGGGCUUGUAGAGCUGGUAUGCUUUAUUUCAACUCCUAGCAUGACGAAUUAUUUAUUUAGCAUGGCACGUGAAUUACAACUCGCAUGUGGUGGGUUUUUGUGUACUACACCUUACGCCUCUUCUUAAUAGAACAUCGUUUUGGGCUGAUAAUUUAUUCGGGCCAAACCGUGAAUUUUUUGGGUCUCAAUAAUAACCAUCAUGAAACAUUACAUUUUGACUGACGUCAAGAAAUGGGGUAUCCCUUUCCUGAUAGUGGCAUCCAUGAUGCCUUCCAAGCAGUCAAUUAAGGGCUAUCGUGAUGCAUUUUAGUUGUCAGCAAAAGGUGUUUUUCUUGUACUGUAUUCACUCAAAGUCGUGUUUCAUUUAAGAUUAGUAGUAUGGUUGAAUACCAUUUGUUUUGUUAAAGAAUAUUAUACAUUAGGGAUUUUUGUAGAAAUGUCAUUUGAACUUAUACCUUAGUUUCAAUUUGUCACCUUGAAGAAAAAUUUAAGAGAAAUGUCACCUUAAUUUUUAAAAAUCCAUGAUUUGUCAUAUGACUUUAAAAUCAUCCAAUUUUCCAUCCAUUUUAAGGGUAUUUUAGUCUUUUCAUUUUGAAGGAAAAAAAAGAGAUGAAAAAAGAGACCUCUCUCUUACUUUGUCCCUCAACCCAACCCCACCCGCCCCCCAAAACACAUCACAUAGGAUUGCCUCCCCCUUCCCCACUUUUCUUUUUUCUUUUUGUCCUACUUUUCCACUAUGUUUAUGUUGAAGGAUCUAAAGUUUGCUUGGUCACCAUCUGUUACGUAGGCUUCCCAAUUGUUAGUUUGGGUGGGUUGUGGGAAUUUGUGUGCUCGAAACCCGAGACGAAUCUUGUGGAAUUCCCGACAUCACACCGAUGCCGGGCCCACUUCUGAACUAAAUUCUCUUUUCCAAAAUUAAGGAAAAAGAGUACGAGGCUUUCUGCCGAAAUUUCGACAGAGUAUUCCCUAUAAAUUUAACAUUUCAGCUUUGGUGGCCGUUCUCUCAUUUCAGCUUUGGUGGCCGGAUGAGAGAACGGUCGGCUAAAACGUGGCCAGCUGGCACUGCCGUCGCGAGAGAGAGAGAGAGAGAGAGAGAGAGAGAUUUUUAUCAAAUCAUUUUUGCCAAAAUUACGAUUAUGCAACUGAGGGUAUUUUGAUCGUAUCUUUUUCAUUAUAACUCUGAUUCAAGCCCACUACGUGUUUACGGACUCAUCUCGCCGUGCUCUAUGCAAUUGUAUAGUUGAAAUUCCCAAAUUCCACCCCAGUCAAAAAUUCAACUUUAAACCCUACAAAAUAUUAUAGGGGCAAAAUGGUCUUUUAUCUAAUUAAAUUAAUAAUUGAAAAUUUAUUUAGGACCGGGUUGUUACACUGUCGUUGAUGGACUGUGCGAUGACACUCACACAAAGUCCUUGAGAAUAAAACACACACACACCAUGAAGAGAGUAAAACAAAUACACAAGUACACAAAGAUUUAUAAAGGUUUGGCCUUCUGCCUACGUCCUCUUGGUGAUCCACCCGAGAAAUUCACUAGUACGUAAGAACAACUUUGGUUACAACUAAACCCCCUUAGCUUUCAUAAGAACCCUAGAUCUCUUUUCUCCCACCCUUGCUCCAACCCUUUGAUGCCCUUGUAAACACUCAAGAAUUCACCCUUGAAUUCUGUCAUGUGUUACAUCUUCUCUUCUCCCCUUUGUUAACCUAACCCUAAAAGUUAUAUUUAUAAUUCAUAGGACUUUAAGUACAAGUUAACUAGGAAUAGGAAACAUAAUAGACCUCAAAAAUUGGAGAAAAUAUGUUUAGAUCUCGUUAGGAAAUUGCACAACACGUGCGAUCCGCUCGAGCGCCUGCAAAAUGAUCCCUUUGUCGCUCAAGCUGCCGAUAGCUCAUGGGAUGGGGGAAUUAGAGAUUUUUUUUUUUUUCAAUUUUAAUUGUUUAAAAGAUAUACAAUUUUUUAAUAAUAAUUUUUCCAUUUUUAAAAUACCCUUGAAAAUAGAAAGAUUAAAAUGCCCUUAAAAAUGGAUGGAAAAUUGGAUUGCGUUAAGGUCAGUUGACAAAUCAUGGAUUUUGAAAAAUUAAGGUAACAUUUCUCUUAAAUUUUUCUUUAAAGUGACAAAUUAAAAUUGAGGUAUAAGUUCAAGUUACAUUUAUGCAAAAAUCCUUAUACAUUAUGAUAUUCUAACAAUAAAAUUGGCUAAAAUUGAUAUGUUCCCUCUUUAUUUUCUUUUUCUCUUUUCCUUUUCAUUUUAUGAUCCAAUCCUUUUCAUAUAUUUUUGUUCAAGACUUUGUUUUAGAAUGCUCUAUUACUAAUUUGGUACAGGUCCCUAAAAUCUCGGAGCCGCCUUAGUACAUUCAUAAUGUACAUGUUCAGAGUUCAAGAAUAAUGUAUAGAAUGUGAAAUUGACGAUGCCGGCCUUUAUGAGGCAACGUCUUUAUUUCUUUGGUUAUUACAGUUUAGAAUAUUUGCACAAAUGAGAUGAUUCCAAGCAUAAAGUCACAUUCGACCAAAAAGCAUGAAGUCACACACAAAAAGAACACGGACAAUUGCUAAGUUUAUCCUUGUACCCUUAUUUUAUUGAUCCGACCCAAUUGAAAAUUAAAAAAAGAUGAUAAAAAAUAUUGUUCACUACUUUAAAAUCUAUGAGUAGAGUCCUCCAUUUGAAAUUUCGUCAUUAUACAAAAUUGGAAUGAAAAAAGAAAAUCCUACAGCUAAAUUUGAUAUAUUUCCUUUUCAUUUUAUGCUGGGUGUUAGGGCUUGUCAAUGGGCCGGGCUAGGCUAGCCCGGCUCAAAUUUAAUGGGCUUGGGCUAGGCCGGGCCAAGCUUUAAAGAGGAGAGAGAAAAUAUCCGGCCGAGUUUUUUAAGAAAAUUCAAAGCCCAAGCCCGAAUCACUGCUGUCUAGCCCGGCCCAAAUUUAAUGAGCUUGGGCCAGGCCGAGCCAAGCUUUAAAGAGGAGAGAGAAAAUAUCCGGCCGAGUUUUUUAAGAAAAUUCAAAGCCCAAGCCCGAAUCACUGCUGUCAUUUCAUUGAUUUGUGACGAGCACAACCACCAAAUCAGAAUUUACUCACGAAAAUAUCAAGUAUGUCUAGCAAAUUUCAAUUUUGAAUAAUACACAAUUUCAAAAGGAGGACAUGUUGCAAGACAGCAUACCUUCUCUUGGGGUGCUUUUCAUUUUGCAACAUUUCUUUACGUGUAAUUUCCAGAGGAGGGUUUAUCAUUGUAUAUAGCUUUUCGGGUGGUUUGUCUACAAAACAAAUGUCACAAAGAAGGAGGAGAAACGGAAAAGAUUUACUUGGAAUGUCUCAAGUCUCCUUUGAGAUAAAGGCAUCGAAUGCACAACAUUGCUUUUGUGCUAUUUCAUAAUUAAAGUGUGCUUCCCAAGUCUCCUUUGUGUUUUGUAACUUGUAAUGUUUGUUUUUUUGUUUCCCCUGUUUUCCCUCUUAUAAAAGAAAUACAGGUCCAAACCACACGGAUCUACUUGCAUAAUAAUGGACCAAAUUUAUGAUUUUUAGAAAGAACCUUCUGCCGGUGGAAUCUUGGGCUACUGUUGUGGCUCUCCUCUGUGUGCCUCCUUUUUAGAACGGUAAAAUAUUCAAAAUACUAGAAAAUGUUCGUGAUUAAUAUAAAUAUUAAGAAUUGAAAUUAUUAAUUAAAUGAGGAUAAUAUGGUAAAUUCACACUUUUUUAUAUUAAAAAAAUUAAAAUUAAAAGAAAAAUCAGAUAAUUGAUAUUAUUUUUAUGGAACACAGCUACUCAUUAUCUUUUUUAAUUCUAAAAUAAAUUUAAAUUAAAGAAAAAAACCCCUCUCACAGGCACGGAAGCGCGUGCUCAGAGGCUAGUUAAAAAUAAUGAACUUUGCUUCUGAAGACGUCUAUACCAGACCCACUCAACCUGCUUUAUGAUUAUACAAAGAACAAACUCGUCCUUAGACUCAUUUGGUUAAACUUAGAAAAUAAUGAAACAAAAAUAUGCACUCCCACAAGUAACACAGCCAGGAUUGAAAACAACUGGACAAAGAAAGGCAUGUUAAAACAGAAUUUUCAACAACUCAUCACCAUUAGACAAGAAAAAGAAAAAUCAAUACAAAAACAGAAAGAACAGAGAAUAAAUGUGGUGGAAGAAAAACGUUGAAGCCAUUUGUGAAUCCAACAACACUACCACUCUGUUUCUCUCCUUUUGUUCAGGCGGAUCUGCAUAUAUCCUAAGGCGUAUUACGGAAACAACUUCUUGCCGUUAUACUUGAAUGUUGUGGAUGCUUCAACGUUGCCAUCUGGGUGGAGUGGAUUUGUCCAAUUCACCUUCACUAUGGUAUAUACGUCCAAAUUGUUGUUAUUUGAAAGGCUUCUAAAUUUUAACAUUUUGAUUUUUAAAUUUUGUUUAAAUAUUUCGGCCCACUUAGUUCUUCUCAAAAUAUGUCAUCAAUAUCGUUGAAAGGUUGAACUUAGUGAAUUAUUAUAGUGCAGUACUGUAGAAUAGACACAUGAUAUAAUUUGUCCACAUGUUAUAAUAUAAGUAAAUAUUUAUUGAUAUUAUUUCUAAAAAUAAGAAAUAUCAACCAUUAUAUCCUCCCAUAUUAUAAUACAUAUACAAAUUAUACCACAUUAUCAUACUCUAAUACCAUUUUAUAAUUUCUCGUACUUAGAGCGAGUCAAUGACAUUACAUAAUAUAUAAUUGUUCAUAUAAUGGGGCAACUAACGUGAUCAACAAGUUGUGGUGAUUAAUUUAACAUAAUAAAAAAUAUACCAUUUACUUGAGUGAUGUAACAAUUUGUUCUUUUAAAUUGGAUUGCCAUCACUUUAAUAUGAUAUGUUUCUUAUUAUAGUGUCCCAUGUUAAGUGCUUCAGCAUUGUUUGUGGUGUGUACACAAAUUUUCUUAUAAAAUGUUUUAAUGCUUCUCACAUGUAUAUCAGAUAUAGACAGUUGAUGUGACUUAGAAAUCAAAUUGUCAAUAAAGCAAAAAAAUAUAAUUGGUGAUUGAGGUCCAAUUUAAUAGAAAAUAGUCUUAACUUGUAUAUUAGAGGUUUCAGAUUCGAAUCCUCACUGCAUUAUUGUUGUAUACGUACACGAGAAAUCCUCUUCUCCAAUAAUUUAGACUAUCACUUAUACUAAAAAAAUAUAUAUAUAUAAUGACUUUUACGGAUGCAAACAUAAAAUUACACCAAACAAUAAUGGAAUAGAAAGAUGCAAGUUAUUUUUUUUUUUUUUACAUCUAAAGUAUACUUUAUAUAUAUAUUUAUUAUGGGUGUUAUAACCGUUUAAUUUUCAGUUUUUAUUUUCUAUUUAUUGUUUUAAUUUUUAUGGUUUAAUGUGUAUGAAGAUUACAAGUAUUGGAUGUCUACCACUCCUCCUUCACAUCUGAAACAAACCACCAUCUCAUUUCUGUAUUUUCAUACUUUCAUAUAUUUUCUACUUUCCAGAUUAUUAUUUUUGGGCAACGGUUCUGUGACUUGCAGAUUUCUAUCCGAUUGUUAACAUGCUCAUAGCGGACCUUGAGCUUGCGUAUUGGGGAUCGUAUCUUGGAGCCUUAUAGACCUUUAUUACCUGCAUGUAGGGAGGUUAUAAAUGCUUUAGGUCAGCAUCUUUGACGUGCUUUUGCUUUCUUUUUUUUUUUACUUAUUUCUUCGUUUCUUUAUUUUUACUUUACUUUUAAAUUUUUAUUUUAUGUAUUAUUUAUAUUUAAAAGUUUUGAAUAAGAGUUUUACAGAAAAGGAAAAACACAAUUUCAAAUAACACAAAUUUCUCGUUUUUGGUUCUUAAAAUAAAUGAAUUUUUUACUUAUUUGUGAACUGAAAUGCCUCUAAAAAAAUAAUGAUAGUUUGAAGAAUUUGAUAGAAAUUAAAAAAUAUCCUCAAAUUACUUGGAAUUGAAGACCACAUAGGCAAAAACACCAUUUUGGACAAAGGCUGGUGAUAAUAGUCGAUAUCAUCUUUAAGUACUUUAAUAUGAUAUGUUUCUUAUUAUAGUGUCCCAUGUUAAGUGUUUCAGCAUUGUUUGUGGUGUGUACACAAAUUUUCUUAUAAAAUGUUUUAAUGCUUCUCACAUGUAUAUCAGAUAUAGACAGUUGAUGUGACUUAGAAAUCAAAUUGUCAAUAAAGCAAAAAAAUAUAAUUGGUGAUCGAGGUCCAAUUUAAUAGAAAAUAGUCUUAACUUGUAUAUUAGAGGUCUCAUAUUCGAAUCCUCACUGCAUUAUUAUUGUAUGCGUACAUGAGAAAUCCUCUUUCCUAAUAAUUUAGACUAUCACUUAUACUAAAAUAUAUAUAUAAUGACUUUUACGAAUGCAAACAUAAAAUUACACCAAACAAUAAUGGAAUAGAAAGAUGGAAGUUUUUUUUUUUUUUCCUACGUCUAAAGUAUACUUUAUACAGUCCCGAUCUCUUGGACCACAGGAGUCCAAGAGAUUGUGGUCACCCACCGUUGGAUAUUAAUCCAAUGGUUCAAAAUGAUAUAUAUAAAUGCAAUAUGACAUAAAUGAUUAUUACCCGAUCCAAGUCAACCGUUGAAUUUACAUUCAACGGUGGGUGACCAUAAAUCUCUUGGACUACAGGGGUCCAAGAGAUCAGGACUGAUACUUUAUAUAUAUAUAUAUAUAUAUUUAUUUAUUAUGGGAGUUAUAACUGUUUAGUUUUCAGUUUUUAUUUUCUAUUUAUUGUUUUAAUUUUUAUGGUUUAAUGUGUAUGGAGAUUACAAAUAUUGGAUGUCUAUAAAGGGCCACUCCUCCUUCACAUCUGAAACAAACUACCAUCUCAUUUCUGUAUUUUCAUACUUUCAUAUAUUUUCUACUGUCCAGAUUAUUAUUUUUGGGCAACGGUUCUGUGACUUGGAGAUUUCUAUCCGAUUGUUAACAUGCUCAUAGCGGACCUUGAGCUUGCGUAUUAGGGAUCGUAUCUUGGAGCCUUGUAGACCUUUAUUACCUGCAUGUAGGGAGGGUACAAAUGCUUUAGGUCAGCGUCUUCGACGUACUUUUGCUUUCUUAUUUCUUCGUUUCUUUAUUUUUGCUUUACUUUUAAAUCUUUAUUUUAUGUAUUAUUUAUAUUUAAAAGUUUGAAUAAGAGUUUUACAGAAAAGGAAAAAUACAAUUUCAAAUAACACAAAUUUCUCGUUUUUUGUUCUUAAAAAAGAAGAAGCAUUGAUUGGGGAGUUAUGGUAAACUCAAUUUCAAUGGUUGCGAUGAGAGGCGGUGGCGGCGAGGAGAGGACGAAGGCUUUGCUGCCGACGGGGUGGUGUGGGUGGGUGGAGACCUCGGCUGGCUGCUUGGUCCUGGGUUCUCCUUUAAUUCUCUGUUUUCUUUUUUCUUUUUCUUUUUCUCUUAGAGUUAUUGAUGUUAAGUGAAUGGACAGAUGCCAAAAUAGGGACAGAAGUAGGGGUGGGCAUCAAUCCGGCCGAUCCGGUCAAUCCGGCCGAACCGAUUAUAUUGGAUUGGUUUGGUUUGGUUUUGACCAAAGAAAAAGUCAACAUUUUGAAAAACCGAACCGAACCGGUUUGGUUUGGUUCAGCUGUGGUUUGAGAGUUUUAAAAACUGUCCUAAACCGAACCGGACCGAUUAUAAAUCAAUUUAUUAUUUAUUUAAUUUAGUUUACAUGUGGCAAGGUUUGUGUGCGUUUUGUGAGUCCGCGUAUCUGAAUGUUGGUGCACGUUUUGAUCUUCUAAUUUGCAUAUCCCAGUUAUUUGUGUGUGCUUGUAUUUCCCUCUCUUUCUAUCUCUACUAUGUGUGUUUGCUCUUUGUGUUGUGUGGCUCUUCUUACUCUAUCUAUCUUAAUUAAUGGGUCCAUUUCAUAAUUUCAUACGCAUUCAAACUCCACCUCUGUGAUAAAAACAUUUACCUCUUUGUGAUAAAAGCUUUUCAUUUGUUUGUAUUUCUCUUUGGCUUUUUGACUCACUCACUGUCUUUCUUUCUUUUAAUGCUACUUGUGAUGAAUGCAAUGAGUAAAUUUAAUGCUACUUGGUUAAUGCAAAUUUUGUAUAUGUUUGUUUUGAUGGAAAUUGUGAACUUAGAUGCAUGCUAGACAUUGGACAACCUUUGAAUAAAUGGAAUGAUGUUGUAUUAGCCUUUGAUGGAAUGAAAUGAAAUGAUAUAAUGGCAAAAUGUUAGCAUUAUAAUGUAAGAGCAGGUUGAAAAAUGCAUGGUUUUGUGUUAGGCACAAACCGGCCGAACCAAUCCGAACCAAACCGAUUACAAGUGGUUUGGAUUGGUUCGGUUUCCAUUAUGAUUUUAGGCUAAUCCGAACCAAACCGGACCGUUAUUUUCUUAUUGGUUCAGCUGUGGUUUGAGAGUAAAACCGAACCAAUCCGGACCGUGCCCACCCCUAGACAGAAGAUGUGAACCCAAUUAUAUACAGCUGAUUACAUAAAGUAACAAAUUAAUUAAUACUUGAGUGGAGGACAGGCUUGAGUGGAAGAAUUGAUUAAGGCUUGAGUGGAAGACCAACUUCAGUGGAGGAAAGUAUAGAUAAGGAAAGCAUGCCUCGUUUAACGGCUUUAUCUAAUAAAGAUUAGUUGUUGGCACUUGGAGUUUCUUAGGAAUGCUGGUUUUGUUUCCUUGGUGGACUUGAAAGGUGGUGCGUUGGCUCGGACAUCUCCCUAGUAAUUAAUCGAAGGUGGAAUCUUACAAGACAUACAGCUGCUCAUUAGCUGAAUAUCUCGCUCUCUUUAAAGAGAUCGAAGCAAACUGCAAUUUGCAAUUUGUGUGAUUCAAGCAUGAAUAUCUGAUAUAGUAACUAUACCAUUUGUUGGUUUGAUAAGAAAAGUUUGGUUAGCGAGGAUGAAACCAUAAAGUUCUCCAAAACACACAAAAAACACGAACAAUUGCUAAGUUUAUUCUUGAGUUCACACAUAUUUGUACAAAUGAGAUUACUCCAAGCAUGACUAUACCAUUUGUUGGUUUGAUAUGAAAAGUACGGGCAACGAGGAUAAAACCAUACAAACACACACAAAGAACGUGGACAAUAUACUAAGUUUAUCUUUGCGUUAUUGAUCCGACCUAACUGUAAAAUAAAAAAGAUAAAAAUAUAUAAUGUUCACUACUUAGAUCUAUGAGCACUAAAGUCCUCCUUUUGAAAUUGCACAAAACAUCACUUUUGGUCUUUGGUAAAUUUUUAAAAUAAAUGAAUUUUUUACUUAUUUGUGAACUGAAAUGCCUCUAAAAAAAUAAUGAUAGUUUGAAGAAUUUGAUAGAAAUAAAAAAAUAUCCUCAAAUUACUUGGAAUUGAAGACCACAUAGGCAAAAACACCAAAUUGCAACCUCACUUUAAUGAUAAAAAUGGUAAACUACAAAGACAAAAAUGACGUUUUGCCUUAUACAUAAUUGGAAUUUGCUGGUGAUAAUAGUCUACCAUCUUUUGUCGAUUUGCUGGUGAUAAUAGUCUAUCAUCUUUUGUCGGUCCGACCUAAAAAGAAGAAAAAGUUGAUGGCAUCUUGUACCAUUUUUGCCAAUGUGGGCCCAAACAAUUUGAAGAAGUCCACCGGCAAUUUCUCAAAAGCUAUUGUGUGAGUGUGAAGCUAAACCAAUAUUAUUUUGCAUAUACGACUCCACAUCCCCAUGUGAUGUGAGGCUACAAAAGUGUUUCCAAAACGAAAUAUGAUAUUUCAAAACGAAGCUAUGUAUAGAGUCAUUUGUAUUUGCUUUCACAAUAACAUUUGAUUUGUGAAAGCAUUUUAUAUUUAUACAUUCUGAUAUUCUAACAAAUAAAUUGACUAAAUUUGGCCAACAGGAUUUAGCCGAAUAGAAAAGUCCUUAUUUAUAGACUAGUGGUUUCAAAUUUAAAGUUUAGACUAUCGCAUGUAUUUAAAAAAAAAAAAACAAUUGGCUUAAUUUGAUAUAUUUCCUUUUUUUCCUUUUUCAUUUUAUACUGGGUGCCGUUAUUAAGUUUUAUCCUUAUUUUUUGUUGAAAAGAAAAUUGAAAAAAAAUAAUAAUUCCUACAGCUAGCAACUUCUCCACCUUCCCUUCUUCGCAACUAGGGAUGCCAUUGCAAGGUCACCAUCUCAGAUUAAGUCCUCCUUUUAAAAUUGUGUCGUUAUUCAGAAUUGGAAUAUAAUCCUGUACCACUUUGGCCACUUUUGAAGAUGUUCACCGACAAUUUCUCAAAAGCUAUUAAGCUGUACAUCCACAAUAUUAUUGCAUCCAUCCCCAUGUGAGGCUACAGAAAAAUUUUGAAAACGAAACUGGAUAUUUUAUCUCUAACAACAGCUUUCAUACUUCGUUUACCCUGUGUUUCCAAGUUGUGCUAGCUAUUUGCAAACCUUGGAAUAUUACUUCAUCCAAAUCCCUUGCAGAGAAGAGCAAGAUAUGGCUUUGAUCGGAGAAGCCCUCAUCUCCGCUACCAUCCAGACGUUUUGUGACAAAAUUGCUUCGCCUGAGUUCACCGACUUAUUUCGGCAGAAAAAGCUCGAUGAACAACUCCUCAACAAGCUGAAGACGACGCUGUUGACCUUGUCCGUAGUGCUUAAUGAUGCAGAGGAGAAGCAAAUUAAGGAACCUUUAGUGAGAGACUGGCUUGACAAUCUCAGACAUAAUGUCUUGGCUGCGGAGGACUUACUGGAUGAGAUCGACACUGAAGCUUUGCGAUGCAAGCUGGAAGAAGGUGAAGGUCAAACCCACAAUUUAACCAAGAAGGUACGUGAUUUUUAUCAACGCAUGAAUGUUGAGAUGAAAGAUUUAUUAGAAAGAUUAGAACAAUUUGUACAAGAGAAAAGUGCUCUUGGUUUGAGAGAAGGUGCUGGGAGGAAGGUUUCACAAAGAAGAACAACUUCCUUGGUUCAUGAACCUUGUGUCUAUGGUAGAGAUGAAGUCAAAGAAAAUCUGUUACAAAGAAGAGGAUUUGCCGUCAUCUCUUUCUCAUCUGAGUAUCUCGCGGUGUCCUGCCCUGGAGAAAAGGUAUAAGAAUAAGACGGGACAAGAUUGGGCAAAGAUAUCUCACAUUCCUUGCAUCAAGAUAGGAUACGAACUGAUCAUAUAAUAUGAGCUAUUCCAUAUUUCACUCUCAACCCUCAACUCUCAAAUCAAAGUCAGGUGAGGUAUGUGCCUUCUCUUACUUUAAAAAACUGCUUCUCUUCUUCUAAUUGAAUACAAAAACCAAAACACAUAUUCUCUUUCUCUUCCAAAAACCCAAAUACAUGUUGAACAUUGCCAAAUUUGAUCUCCAAAUUCCUAAUUAUUUCACGCUUUUUGUUAUUUUGUUGCUUAGUAAAUUAUGGUUGCUGGUCACAAAUUAUAGUCUGUUAAUAGGUUCAUGCCAUGAAUUAAUCUUUGGACUUUCCCAGGUACUGCAGGUUUGUUAUUAAUGUUGUGGCCUGAUAUUCGUCGUAUCAAUAGGUUGUCUUACGUUGAGGAGAGAGAUCGAUCAGCAAUUACAAAAUUGUUAGUGAAUUUAGCUUGUUUAUCAUCUCUCUCCUUUUGUUUGUUAAGUUUGGUUGUUCUAGGUUAAACCCUUGUCCCCGCAUUUCACAGCAACUCUAUGUUAUUCCACUCUGUUUAGUUUCAUUUAUGUUGUGAUUCGACUGCUGCUGUAUUUUAGAUUUCGUUCAUGUAAUGCUAGGAUGUUUAAUCUCUUAUCUGUGGUGGUAGUUGAGUAGUCUAGCUAAUCCAAUGAUAACUUGUCCCCUGUUUUGUAUUGUUUUUAUUUCUCUGGUAAUGAAAGCACGUUUCUUAUAAAUAAAUAAAAAAUAUUUCAUUGAUAUUCAUUGCUUAUUUUGAACUGCAGAAGCCUACUUUUGUCAGAGUCAGUAGAUGCCAGAAUGAAGUCAUUGCCUAAACACAUUGGCACCCUCACAGCCUUCGACAUUUUGGGAUAUAUGAUCUUCAAAAUCUUGUGUCAUUUGCCUCCCAACCUGCAAUAUUUUCAUAUUUUAAAUUGUGACAGACUGAGCCCUUUGGUGGGAGAUUACUGGGGUUUGCAAGGACUUGGUGGCAAUAUCUUGUAGACGUUUCUCAAGGAACAGCUGCUCAAUACCACUCUUCACACUCUAUAUAUUAUGGCCUGUCAGUCUAUAAUUCCUGCCAGGAGAGGAACUUGAACGCCUCUCUUCGCUGCAAAGGCUACAUAUUUGUGGGUGUGACAAUAUCCAAUUCCUGCCAGAAGAGUGUUUGCUGCCAUCUCUUUCUUAUCUGUGCAUCAACCAUUGUUUUGCCAUGUAGAAAAGGUAUCUCACAUUCCUUGCGUCAAGAUAGGCGAAGAAGUGAUCAUAAGAUAUGAGCUCUCUCUCCCUCUCGCUCACAUACAAUGUACUUAACACAAACACUCAAUCUGAUUUCUAUUAUUAUUUUGCUCAGUAAAUUUUGUUUAAAUUUGCUUUAUUUCUCAUUGCACUUGUUCUGCUGAUCACAACUUAUAUCCUAUUUAAAUCUCAAAUGCUGAAUAAUGAGCAGUCUUUUCGCAGGACAACAUAUCUUCUCUUGGAGAGCUAUUCAUUUGCAAGGUUUCUUUAUGGGUCAUUUCCAGAGGAGGGUUUACUAUUUAAUAGAAAGGUUCACCUGGAAUAUCUCAACUGACACAUUCCCAAAUACAGGCAUUGAAUGCACAACAUUUUGAGGUACUAUUUUUGUAAUAAAAAUGUACUUGAGUCUCAUUUGAGCUAGUUUAAAUUGUAUUCAAUGUCUAUGGAUAACCUGUGAGCUUAAGUUGUAAGAUAAAACUCACAGUAUAUUAUUAGGGUUUAGGGUUCAACUGUUCAACAGGUGAGCUUAAGUUGUACUUUCCUAGGUACUGCAUGUAUAUAAUCUUAGUAUCAACACUUGGUCUUAUGUGGACAAGAGAGAACAUUUGAGGAAUUACAAAAUCUUCUUAGUGAAUUAAUGUUGUUUCAGCUCUGUUUGUCAUCCCUCACAUUUUCUUUGUUAAGCCUUGAUUUUUUAUUAGACAUAAGAAAAAAUGCUUUUAUAAGACAGGAGAUGAAUGCUUUUAUAUGUUGAUGUCGUAGUCAGUCUUCAACCACACUCUGUUUUUAGAAUUCAUUUAUGUUACUAGUUGAGUGCUGCUGUAUUUUAUAUUUCGUUCCUGUAAUGUUUGGAUGUUUAGCUUGAGCAGUCUAGCUUAUCCAGUAGAUAACUUGUUCCCUGUUUUGUAAUGUUUUUGUUUCCUCUAAUGAAAGCAGGUUUUACUUAUCUUGAACUGCAGAAGCCUACUUUUUGACAUAGGUGGCAUGGCACAAACUCGCAUCCGCAUUUCCUUCCCCAUUGGCAUGCUGUCUCAUCUUUUGUAUUCUGUUACCAGCUUGAAGCUUGUGUAGACAUGUUAUGCUCUUGUAAUUCUGAUCACAAACAUCACUUGACAAAUGGAAAGUCACAAUCAGAUCUUUCAGGUGAUCGGGAGGUUUACUUUCUAACAUUUGUUUUCAUUGGGGGGAGGACAACAAUACAGAAUUUAAAAUUUCUGAUAAUCAAUAGUAGUUUGCAUAUAUCAGCUGGGACCUGUAUGACUGUAUUAUGUAAUUAAUUAUUUCUCUUAUUGUUUUGGUACUGUUAAAAGGAGUUAGCCACAAAAUAAAAAAGGAGGCCUCUUAUUUCAUACAAUUUUUCAAAAGUGAUCAUUCAUCCGUUUCUUUUUCAACAAUAGAGGAAUGUAUACUAAUCGUCUGGUCCAUCUGCUGCUUCACUCCCUAGUAGCUUCAUCUCCUGUCCUUUGCUUUAUUUCUGUUGAUGAAUGUUUUGUCUGGGUUAUUUAUUUUCAUUUCAUGUCCAUUGCUUCAUUUCUGUUUGGAUUCUGUCCUGGACUUGAACAAGGGUUAGGUUAGCUGUAUAAUUUGCGGUUUUAUAUACACAACUGUCUACAUUGAUUAAAACCAGCAUUAUUCUAAGGUUCAUUUAGAAUGUAUUAUCACCAAAAUUAUAAAGUAUACUUCUAUUACAAUUAAUUUGUUGAUUCUAAUUUGGACUUGUAGGAACAGACCAAACAUGUUCAUACGUGGCAUUGCUCAAGUCAUCAUCAUUCGGGACAGAGAAUAAGCCUUCAAAUGUCUGCUGAGUCAAUGAACCUUUCUAGAUAUCUCAAGUGUAGUGGAAAUUGAUGAGUUACAAAGGAUUUUUAAACAUUUUCUACUGGAGGCUAGAAAUGCUUCAAAUAAAUGACUGUGUUGCAAUUAUUUUGUAGGAUCAAAGACUCUGCAAAGAGGUAAGAAAGUCAUCAUCAAGUAACUUUGCUCUUCAAACUUUUUAAUUUUAUUUUUAAAUAUCAGUAAUAACUGGGAAAGUUUGCAUUUCCUUAAAUUGCUCAUUCUUACAUCUUUUAUAGUUUGUUGAUCUUGGGCAAGUGGAGAGAGAGGCGUCAAGUGAUACACAACAACCAUUUUCUGUGAGCUGAUUUGAUAAAGAGAAAUGGUAUGCUUUCUUGUCUUAAGCGGUGUGUUCUGCAAUUAUUUGAAACAAAGGAUGCCGCACUUCAAGUUCGAGAAAAUCAGGUAUUUUAGUAUUUUAUUCUGGAGAAAUUUGAUUUAUGUAGAAACUUGAACAUGUAAAUGAGAGAAAAAAAAAUUUAUAUAUAUAUAUAUUAUAUUGUAUAUGCUCUUAAUGAGUUAAUAUGGUGCUUGCUCCUGGUUGGAAAUUUAUGUAGUCAUCUACCUAUGAUCAAAUAAAGAUGAAAAAUAAAAUAAAAUUGAGAGCAUCUUCCUCUCCCCUGCUUUGCUCAUCCCUUGUUCUUCCACUUCAGCCCCACUAUUACACCAUUUUUUCAGCCACAAUUAUAAUAGCUCCAUGAGCAUUAAGUCCUUUUCAAAUUCUGCUGACAUUCAAAAUUGGAAUUGCUGGUGAUAUAUGAUAGCAUCCUUGUCCGACCAAAAAGAAAAAAAAAAAAAGUUGAUAGCAUAUUGUACCAUUUUGGCCAGUGUACGCAAUAUUAUUGCAUCCAACUUUGCAUAUUAACAUCAGUGGCCACAGUUCCAUGAUUUGAGUGCACAGAAAGGUUUCAAAAGUUGUCCCACAAAGAACAGUCGUUCAAAGUGAAAGAGAGUUUUCAAAGCUUAGUUACAAGUUCAUGUUAUUUACAAUAUCAAAAAGCUUUCAUACUUGCUUACAAACCUGUAUUUCCAAGUUCUGCAAACCUUGGAAUAUCACUUCAUCCAAAUCCCCUUCCAAAGCAGGAAAAAUGGCAGCAGCUUUGAUUGGAGAGGCUCUCAUCUCUGCUUCUAUCGAGUUGUUGUGUGACAGAGUUACUUCAGCCGAGUUCAUAGACUUAUUUCAGCAGAAGAAACUUGAUGAAACACUCCUCAUGAACCUGAAGACGACACUGUUGAUUUUGUUUGCGGUGCUCAAUGAUUCAGAGGAGAAGCAAAUUGUGAACCCUGCUGUGAGAGAGUGGCUUAACAGCUCAAGCAUGCUGUCUUUGAUGCAGAGGACUUACUUGAUGAGAUUGACACUGAAGCUUUGCGAUGCAAGCUGGAAGGUGAGGAUGAAACCCACAAUAAUUAACCAAAAAGGAUCUUUUUGAUUGUUUGAAAGGAGGGUCUUGAUGAUUUGAAAGGAGAGGGUUGCUUUAUUUCUGUUGGAUGCUUAAUUAAAUCUUAUUUGGAGUUGAACAAGGAUUAGGUUAGCUGUAUAAUUAGUGGUAAACGCCUUUUUCUAAGGGUCAUUUAGACUCAUAUUACGAUUAAUUUGUUGUUUCUAAUUUGGACUUGUAGGAACAGACCAAAUAUGUUCACACGUGGCAUCGCUCAAGUCAUCAUCAUUUCAGACUGAAAAUCAGCCUUCAAGUGUCUGUUGAGUCAAUAAAACUUUCUAGAUAUAUCAAGUGCAAUGGAAAUUCAUGAGUUACAUAGAGAUUUGUAAACAUUUUGAAGAUUGCAACACCUGCAAGUGAGAUAGGCGGUGACGAAAUCAGAGAUGAAGCCUCUGAUGCCCCUGUUGUUGCAAGUUGCACCUGAGAACAUGUUUUUUUUUCUUCUUUGGGGUAAAAAACUGGCAACAUGUUCGGAGCUGACAAUUCAAUCCCUGAUGAACUAGAGAAGCAAAGCUCCGGUAAGGAAAUUGGUCAAGGUUGUGACAGGGAUGAUUGAUGGUGAAAUGGAUGCUAUUUCUUAUUGCAGCCUGUUCUUAAAGUUCUUGUUGGCAAAUGCAAGAGAUGGAGUAUU
rnacentral:lncRNA from 1 species